rnacentral:lncRNA from 1 species
AAGCUCGGCCGCCUACUUAUCUCUGGCACGUUUGUCCUAACACCACCACUUUCCCCAGAAACAGCACCUACCAAGCCAACCGUGAUACCCUCUUAACUUCGCUAUCGUCUAAUGGCAGCCGUGGUAAUGGUUUCUAUAACACAACCGCAGGCAGAAACCCUGACACGGUUUACGGUCUUUUCCUCUGCCGUGGGGAUCUUUCUACCAGCGUUUGUCAAGCGUGUGUCACCUUCGCCUCUACUGACAUUUCCCGACGUUGUCCUGUUGAAAUAGCAGCGGUGGUUUGGUACGACGAGUGCCUCCUACGAUACUCGGACGAAAAUAUAUUUUCCGCCGUGGCUGAAGAACCUGCAAUUAUCUUGUUCAACACUCAGAACAUCAGUGACCAAGUCCGUUUCGACAGCCAAGUUCAAGAAGUGAUGAGUGGUACAGCAACCCAAGCCGCAAACGCAGCACCAGGUACUAAAAAAUUCGCGACUAGAGAGGCAGAUGCCAAUUUUACAUCGAGUUUUCGAACACUAUAUGCCCUUGCUCAGUGUACACCGGAUUUGCCAACCUCCGAUUGCGACAGAUGCCUGCGAUACGUAACUGGAAACCUUCCAAGAGGAAGCCAAAGAGGAAGAGUGUUGAGUCCUAGCUGCAACGUCAGAUAUGAAGUUUACUUGUUCUAUAAUCUAAAUCAAACAGCAGUUGCAUCUCCUCCACCUCCUCUAGUUCCAGGUUUAUCCUUACUAUUCAUUCAUAAUUUUGGGUUAGAUCAUUAAAAAGAUAAAGCUAGAGGAAAUAGAUUUUUAAUCUAAUAGUCUACCACCUAGACACCCUUUUUGACUCUAUUAACGGUAUAUAUCAUGGCUUCAGAAGGGAAUGGCCGAAGAUCAUGGUCAAUAAUUAUUGCCAUUGUUGCUCCAAUUGCUGCCUUCAUUUUGCUUUUCAUACUGACUUGUUGGCUGUUAAAGAGGGGAACAAGGAAGUACAAUGCUACCCACGGAGAAAACGGUAAAGGGAAUGAUUAAGCUUGUGCUUCUUUUGAGCCAUUUUAUUUCCUUGUCUUUCACAAAAAAAUUUGUCACCCCUUCGCCAUUUGAUUGUUUAGCAGGAUAUGACAUAACCACUAUAGAAUCAUUGAAGUAUGAUUUUACCACAAUUGAAGCUGCAACAGACAAGUUUUCAGAUGCCAACAAGCUAGGCAAAGGAGGUUUUGGUGAGGUUUACAAGGUACUUGGUCAUUUUGUUCAUACAGAGUCCAAUCAAUUUGAUAAAAAACUUGGUCUAAAUACGCAUUUUAAUGACUGGUUAUUAAUUUGUAUAUGCUUAGGGUAUCCUACCCAACAAACAAGAAAUAGCUGUUAAGAGGUUAUCAAGAGGUUCAGGACAAGGCACUGAGGAAUUUGAAAAUGAGGUCGUAUUGAUAGCCAAGCUUCAACACAGAAAUCUAGUCAGCGUAUUGGGCUUUUGCCUGGAAAGAGGUGAAAAGAUACUUGUCUACGAAUAUGUUCCCAACAAGAGCCUUGACUAUUUUAUUUUUGGUAUUUUUCACAUACUUUGCAAUGACCUUUUUGAGAAUUUGCAUUUGCUUUAAGGUUGGUUUUUAAACACAAUUUUUUGUUUUUGUUUAGAUCGUGCGGAGGAAGGACAAUUGGAUUGGUCGAGACGAUACAAGAUAAUUGGAAGAAUUGCUCGUGGAAUUCUUUAUUUGCACGAGGAUUCUAGACUUAGAAUCAUUCACCGUGAUCUCAAGGCCAGCAAUAUAUUAUUAGAUGGAGACAUGACCCCCCAAAUAUCGGAUUUUGGCAUGGCAAGAAUUUUUGGAAUUGAUCAAACUCAAGGAACCACUAGAAAGAUUGUUGGAACCUAGUAAGCCCUGACUUUGUUCAGCCUAAUUGUUGAAUGUUCUAAUACCUCCAUUACCUUGAAAUUGUUAUUCGUUCGACAGCGGCUAUAUGUCUCCAGAAUAUGCAAUGCAUGGGCAAUUUUCGAUGAAAUCGGAUGUGUAUAGCUUUGGUGUUUUAGUUCUAGAAAUCAUAAGUGGCCUAAGGAACAGAGAUUUCUAUGAAACAGAUGGUGCUGAGGACCUCAUUAGCUACGUGCGUAUAAUUCUUUUGGCCUUUUUUGUUCAAAUAUCCUUUAUAUAGAACUUAUUGAAUCUUUGAUGAACCAAUGCAGGCUUGGAAACUAUGGAAGGAUGAAAGACCCUUAGAAUUGUUGAACCCUGUUCUGAGGAAUGAUUACUCGAGAAAUGAAGUCACCAAAUGCAUCCAACUCGGAUUAUUAUGUGUUCAGGAAGAUCCAGCUGACCGGCCAACGAUGGCUACCAUUGUUCUAAAGCUUAAUAGGCACUCUGCCAAACUACCAAUGCCUAAACAACCAGCAUUUGUCUUUGAUAGUAGAACAGAUGGGAGGAUGCCAGACAAGGGGCUUGAAUCGGACCAAUCUACUACUCAAUCAAUGCCGUCGUCUAUCAAUGAGGUAUCUAUUACGGAAUUAUACCCUCGGUAAUGUGAGCUAAUGGAUGCAUCAUCAUCCUCAACCUCAAGGUAGAUAGCUAUCUACCGACGUUGAUCAACAAGUAAAAUUUUAAAUAAAGUGAUAAUUUAUUUAAAAUCAAUUUUAUAAAAUUAUAAUGUAAACAUGGAUGAUUAUUUCCUUAGCUAGAAUAAUAUAAUAUAAUAUAAUAUAAUAUAAUAUAAUAUAAUAUUAUUAGGAUAUGGUGUCGAUAAUGUAAAAAGGAGUGUCAUGACCCAACCUAGGUCACUGGCCUCAUUUGGAUUUUUAUGUAAUUCUUAUGUAUGUGAAAACGAAUCGUUUUCUAUUUUCUCUGCAAUUAAUCUUCUCAUUUAUUAGUCUUUAUGACCAAACUUAUUUCUAUGGAAAAAUGUAAUUUCAUAUAGAAAUCUUCUUUUGCAUUCAAAAACCGAAGAAUACACAUGUUCAUUUUUGUUUUCAUGACAAAGUGGAAAGUUUUGCUUAUCAAGAAAAAAAACAAUGAAGAAAUAUUCUUCUUUUUUUUUUUUUGUCAAAAUUACUGUCCAUAGUCGUGUUGCAAAGUUGUGGCUGACUAGUGUAGUUUCCUGGACCAUAAACUGCUUUAUCAUAUUUAUGAGAUUUCGAUCAAUUAAUAACAGAAGACGAUAUAGAAAAUUUAAAAAAAAAAAAACCAAGACCAUGACGUAAAACUCUCUGUUAUUACACGUAUGCACGAGAAAAACACACACUGAAAGUGCUUGCCUACUACAAACCAAAAACCCCUUCAAGUGGAACAAAUUAGAUUACUCAGUACUACUGCAAUCGGAUUACUCGAGUGUUUCGACCCACCGAGAUUCAUGGCCAACUGGCUCAUUGAGUAUUCGUUUUUGACCCUACUCUUUUAAGUUCUUAGCUUCCAAUUUGAUUGAGAUUUCUAGUCUUCCUUGUAGACUAAUACAAUCCAAAAAUUCGACUCAAAUUUUUCAGUAAAGGAUCAACGAAUUUUCUGUAAUGGCGAAAAGUAUUUCCCUUUAUACAACAACCCAUAUUAUAAUUUAUAAAUCUGGUAUCUCUUGUCUUAUAAUCCAAGCUAAAACAAGGUGAUGACUUUUAUAAACUUGUUGCUGUUAGGAAUAGUACUUUCCUUGCUUACCCCUGCAAUUGAAGCUCAGCAGCCUACUUAUCUGUACCACGAUUGUCCAAACACCACCACUUUCACCGUAAUCAGCACUUACCAAGCCAACCGCAAUACCGUCUUAUCAUCGCUGUCGUCUAAUAGCACCCGUGGUUAGGAGUGUUCAUUCGGUUAACCGACCCGAAAUUACUAUAACCGAAUUAACCGACCUUCCAAAAAUUUUAACCGUUAACCGAACCGAUUUUUUUAAAAAAAAUUAACCGAACCGAAAUUUUUUCGGUUAAUAAGGUCGGUUAACCGAAUUAACCGAAAAUUAUGUAUUUUUUAUUUUUGGUUAAAAAUUACCCGAAUUACCCGAAUUAACCGAAUUACCGAAAAAUACUCGAAUUACCCAAAAUUUUUUAUUUUUUAUUUUUAAAAUUUAAAAAAAUUAUAAAUUAUUAAAGUAAAUUGGGUUUUAGACUUUAGUAAAUUGGGUUGUCUUUUAGUUUUAGUUUUAUUGGAUUGGGUAAUUGAGUAAACUUUAGUUUUAGUUUUAUUGGGUUGGGUAAUUGGGUUGGGUAAUUGAGUUUGGGCUGGGUUGGAUAAUUUUAUUUAUUAAUUUUUUCGGUUAACCGAAAAAUUUCGGUUAACCGACCAAUUUUGAACCGAAUUAACCGUUAACCGAAAAAUCAUAAAAAAAUUAACCGACCCCCGACCGAAAAAAUUCGGUUAACCGACCGAUUAACCGAAUUCGGUCGGUUAACCGAAUUUUUUCGGUUUUACCCGAAUUAUGCACACCCCUACCCGUGGUGAUGGUUUCUACAACACAACCGCAGGCAGGAGCCCUGACAUGGUAUACGGUCUUUUCCAUUGCCGUGGGGAUCUUUCUACCAGCGACUGCCAAGCGUGUGUCACCUUUGCCACCACCGAUAUUUCCCAACGUUGUCCCAACCAAACAACGGCGGUGGCUUGGUACGACGAGUGCCUCCUACGGUACUCGAAUCGAAAUAUCUUCUCCGUUGUCGAAGACCGACCCGCAGUUAGAUUGAGUAACCAUCGGAAUGCAACUGGGACAGAAAUCCCUUUCGACCAGCUAGUGGCCACCACAGUUGUUAUGAACAUGAACGAUAUAACAACCCAAACGGAAAAUAAACCCGCAGGUUCUAAAAAAUUUGCGACAAGAGAGACCAAACUUUCAAGUUCUCGAACACUGUACACGCUCGCCCAGUGUACACCGGACUUAUCAGGCAGUGACUGCAGUAUAUGUCUGCAAGGAGCACUAGAACUUCUUCCAACUGGAUGGCUAGGCGGAAGAUUGUUGAGUCCUAGCUGCAACGUCAGAUAUGAAAUUUACCCCUUCUAUAAUCCAACGAUAGUUUCGCCUCAACCUCCUCCUGCAGCAGGUUUAUCCUCACUGUUAAUUGAUAAAUUUGAUCCUUUCCUUUUUCCUUUUUUAUAGUUCUCGACAAAAAGAAAACAAGAUUCACUACAUUCUCUUUUCUUUUUUCUGGUCGGUAAUUUGUAAAUUAAUAUAUAGGUAAAGAACAAUCCCCUGUUUUCAUAAGGAUUAUAAUGAACUGAAUUGAGGAUAUCUAAUUCUGCUCUUAUUUAAUCAGAAGAAGAGAAACAAAACAAAUCAAACCGGAUUCCAGUACUUGUUGCAAGUUUAUCAGCAAUUUUUGGGCUGGCUGUGGUUUUUAUCUAUGGUUUCUUCAUCCGGAGGAGGAGAAACAGUCGAGGUACAUAUCGGAGUGAUCUUUCUGGCAAGUAUUGUAACUUCUUUUUAUAUUCUUAUGCUGAUCAUAUUAUGAUUUUAUUACAGACGAAGAAAACAGCCAAGAAGUUCAAUUACUUGACUUGGUAAAUGAGCACUCAAGGGAAACUUUUAACGGAGAAAAUGGGGAGAGAUCUCAGGAGUUUCCUUCUAAACAGUUGGAUGUUUUACAUGCAGCGACAAAUCACUUUUCUGAUGAAAAUAAGCUGGGACAGGGUGGAUUUGGUCCUGUAUUCAAAGUAAUUAUAUAACUUGAAACUUUUAUCUGAGUUGGCUUUAGAACUGAUCUAUGCGAAUUAAGUAUGUGAAUACUCCUGCAUUUGAAUUUUGAUAUGCUAUGUAAAUGAAUGAAUUCUUCCAGGGAACAUUAGCAAAUGGUAAAGAAAUUGCAGUUAAAAGGCUGUCAGAAACUUCCAGUCAAGGGCUUGUUGAAGUCAAGAAUGAAAUCAUGUUAAUUGCUAAAUUACAACAUAGAAAUCUUGUGAGGCUCUUAGGAUGUUGCUUAGAGAAAAGUGAGAAGUUGCUUGUAUAUGAAUUCAUGCCCAACAAAAGCCUGGACGUUUUCCUAUUCGGUUUGAUUCUUGAACCUUUAACUAAUAAGAAAAAAAAACAUGAAACAAUUAAUGAAAAUGUGCUCAUUUGUUUUUUUUUUCCUUUUUUUCCACAUUUAUAUCAGAUUCGAAAUUAGCUGCUCAACUGGAUUGGCAGAAACGAUUCAAUAUUAUUAAAGGAAUUGCUCGAGGUAUUUUGUAUCUACACGAAGAUUCAAGUCUAAAAAUUAUACACAGGGAUCUUAAAGCAAGUAAUGUUCUACUCGAUCAUGAGAUGAAUCCGAAAAUUUUUAAUUUUGGUAUGGCAAGAAUUUUUGAAGAUCAAAACGAAGCAAAUACCAAUAGAGUCGUUGGAACAUAGUAAGUAUGCCUAUUUUCAUGACACAUUCCUUUACAGUGCGAGGCUUAUGGGAAUAUUGUUAUUUAAUUAUUUUCUUUCUUUAUAAAAUUUUUUAUGAUAUCAUCCAAUUUUAUUUUAAUAAAUUGUCUCUUUGUUUCUUAUGAAUUAAAAUAGUGGAUAUAUGGCACCAGAAUAUGCUAUGGAAGGACUCUUUUCUAUCAAAUAUGAUGUUUUCAGCUUUGGAGUCCUUUUAUUGGAGAUUAUUAGUGGAAAAAAGAACAAUGGUUUUCAUCAUUUAGAGCAUGGUGAAAGCUUGUUGACUUUUGUAUGUUCUUUACCCUCCCUUUUGUUCUCAAACUAUAGAUUAAAUGUUUUAACUAUUCUACUAAUAAUUUUAAGCUACAAUUGUAGGCAUGGAAAUUAUGGUCCAAGGGCGAAGGAAUGGAGCUAAUAGAUCAGGUCCUUGUUCCUUCAUGUGUGGCUUCUGAGGUGCUUAAAUGCAUUCAUAUUGGGCUAUUAUGUGUGCAAGAAGACCCGGCAGACAGACCAACCAUGUCAUCUGUGAUUUUCAUGUUGGCAAGUGAUAGUACCAUAACACUUCUUUGUCCAUCUGAACCAGCAUUUUUCGUUGGGCGUGCAAUUGCAAAGCCAACUGAACCUAUUUCAGAUGAUGGAGUCUUUUCGGUUAAUGAGGUCACAAUUUCAAAUUUCUCACCUCGCUAAUUUGAUUGUUGUACUAACAAUACUAGUUUAUCAAAAACCUUUCAUUUUUAUUUUCCAGUCUGAAUUAACAACUAUGAAUACUAAAGCCAUGAUUUUUAAGAACUUGAAGAUGAAACUAGAUAUACAUAUAUAUGAAUUUCAAAUUGAAUAUGAAGUUGGUGAUAAAUCAAUUUAAGAAAAUUAAUUUUUUACUCAAAUUUUUUAAUGUAUCGAAGCACCUAAGAAAGUUGAAAAUUAUAUGGAUUUAUACUUUCUAAAGCAUAUAUAAUUUAGCUACUCUUUGCGAUUUGCACAAGGAAACAAACAUAUAGCAGGGAAGAGUGUAAUUUUUAUACUCUUGUAAUGAUGAAGGAGUUGCAAUAAUUUAUUUCAUUAGUUUACACUUAAUCUGGAAUUCAACUCCAAUAAAAGGAUCCAAUUAACUUCCAAAGACUAGUCUUGCAUCUAGAAAUUAAGAGUUUGGAUACGUGUUACCUUGUGCAAAGUGUCGCUACUUUGUGCAAGUUUCUCAUAUGCUCAGUUUAGAUUAAUUUAAAUUAUAUGAAAAAUUAUAACUGUGUUUGACAAAAGUACAAAUUUAUAUGACUUAUGUUACCCCGACAACAAUAUAAUAUUUCAUUACUCGAACCUGACAUUGAAUCAAGAAAUAAAGGGUUACAUUUAGUAAUAUCAGUAACCAAGUCAAUGGAAUGCUUUCACUGUCCCUAACAUGGUCAUGUAGCCAACUGCCACAUUGAAUAUUAUUUUUUGUUCACUUCUGCCCCAUCCAUUCAUUGGGAGGCCCUAAACAAAAUACAGCAAGAAUAGUUCAACAUGCGUAAUUUAAUGUUUUUAGUCAUAUUGACAAAGAAUUGACUGACUUGUGUAGCUUCCUCGAACAUAAGCUGCUUUAUCAUCUUCAUCUUGGGAGAACGGGUCAACAAAAUACAGCCACCUUCGACAAUUGAACUUUUAAUUUGUAAGUGAAUUCCUUAAAGAAACAGGCAACGGAAAUUUCAAGAACAAUAUUGUUUCACUUCUUUUUUUCAGGUUUAACAUUUACAUACCUCGUUAUUCUCACCAUUUCCUUCGACCCUUAUUUCCAGCGUUAUUGGGCGAACAUCAUCGGCAACUACACCGCCAAUAGUGCCUACGAGCUUGACCUGGAUAGCAUCUUCAAGGAGAUCACCUCUAUAACAAAAUCCAAUUAUGGGUUUUACAGCAACAAGGUCGGCGAAGUCAACGCCAUGGCACUUUGCAGAGCAGAUGUUAAGCUAGAUGUUUGCUCUAGUUGUUUAUACGAAAAUAUCUAAUUAUUAUUAAAAAAAAAAGUUAACAAUUCAAGUCUAAUUAUUUUGAACUUGAAUUGACACAUGGAAUAGAUUUAAACUUAAAAUGACUCAAACAAAUCAUUUAAAAUUACUAAAGUCUAAAAAGAUCAAAACUCGAUCCAAAUUUAUAAUGACAAAUUUAGAAGGCUAAUACCUCAACCCUAAAUAAUUCAAAAUCCUAAUUAAUUCUAAUUGAAAUAAUCUAAAAUUUUUAAAAUUAGACUACGUGCAGGCUUGCUUAUUACAGUCAUUGAAUACAUGUCAUUUAUUGGUAACCAAGUCAAUGGAGUGCUUUCAUUGACCCGAACAUGGUCAUGUAACUAACUGCCACAUUGAAUAAUUAUUUAUCAUUUACUUCCGUUCCAUCGAUUCAUUGCGGACCCAGCUCUCCUUGUAGACCAAUUUACACAACAAAACUGCUUUAUCAUCUUCGUAUUGUUAGAACCAGUCAACAAAAUACAGCCACCUUCAACAAUUAAACGUUUAAUUUGUAAGUGAAUUCCCUAGAGAAAAUGGCAACGGAAAUUUCAAGAACAGUACUGUUUCACUUCUUGUUUUCAGGUUUAACAUUUACAUUCCUCGCUACUUUUGCCAUUUCCUUUGACCCUUAUUUCCUGCAUUCUUGUGCAAACAACAUCGGAAACUACACCGCCAAUAGUGCUUACGAGCGUGACCUCAAUACCAUCUUCAAACAGAUCACCUCUAUUACAAAAUCGAAUUAUGGAUUUUACAGCAAGAAAGUCGGCGAAGUCAGCGCCAUGGCACUUUGCAGAGCAGAUGUUAAGCUAGAUGUUUGCACUGGUUGUUUAAGUGAAACUAUAUCAAGGGUCAAGCUGGAUUGUCCUAACAACAAAGAAGCCAUCGGAUGGUCUGCGGAUUGCACGUUACGGUACUCGAACACAAACCUCUCCGAGAAGUUGGAAAUUAAUCCUCAAACCUGUCUAUAUAAUACAGGAUCUACGGUUGAUGAGUACUUCCAGCUCAGACUCGGAGAAUUGUUGAGUGACCUGCGUAAUAAAGCAGCAUCAGGGGGUGCUCUUCUUAAAUAUGCAGCAGGUAACUCGUCGCUCAGGGCUUCGGAAAGGUUAUACGCUCUAGUGCAGUGCACUCCUGAUUUGUCUGAGGGAGACUGCAAUCAUUGUCUUGAUAAGGCGGCAACCAACGGGAUUCUGCGGUGUUGCCUUAAGCAGAGGGGAUGCCGGGUUCUUAGUCCUAGCUGUAACUUGAGGUUCGAAACAUAUCCCUUUGUUGAAGCCGGAGUGGAGUUUCCACCACCCCCGUCACCCUCGGGCGAUCGGCAAAAAGAAGGUACGACAAUUUUCCUUCCACUGUCACUUCUUCCAACCACCUGUUAGCACAGCUUCACUUUGGAGGCACUAUAUUAGCCUAUCACUCUUGUUGAAUCGAGAAAAUCUGAUUCUGCCCUUAUAUAAUUAGAAGAGGAACCAAACAAAUCAAAAAGGACGCCAGUACUUGUUGCAAGUUUAUCAGUGAUAUUUGGGGUAGCUGUGGUUUCUAUCUCAGGUUUCUUAAUCUGGAAGAGGAGAAACAAUCAAGGUAUGCAGUGGCAAACAUUACAAAUUUGUUUUGUAUUGUUAUAUUGAUCACUUUCUUACUUUCUUCUUUUAUUAAUUUCAGAUACAGAGUACAGAGAAAUUCAAUUACUUGACUUGGUAGAGGGAAGAAUUGAUAUGUGAGAAUCAAGUUUGUAACGUUAGGUAUAAUUAAUAAAUGAAUUCUUUCGGGGAACACUAGCGGAUGGUAAACAACUGCAGUUAAAAGGCUAUCAAGAACCUCCGAUCAAAAGCUUGUUGAGUUCAAAAAUGAAAUCAUGUGCUUUUUUCCUUCUUUUUUUCCCUACUAAGCUACAAUUUUAGGUAUGGAAGCUCUUAUCUGAAUACAGCUAAUAGAUAAGUUCCUUACUCCGUCGAGUGUAAUUUUUGAGGUGCUUAAAUGCAUUUUGGGUUAUUGUACAUGCAAGAAAAUCUGCUACUCAGUCUAAUCAAAUCAUCUCUUAUUGUCAUGUUCGCAACCGAUACCGUAAAACUUUCUCGUGCAAUUAAACCAACAUCCUUUUUGGGCAUAUCAUUGCGGAAUCAAUCAAACACAUUUCAAAUGAUGAAUUUUUUUAUUAUUAUUAAAAAUUUUCACCUCGCUGAUUUGAUCACUAUUUUAAUUUUAAGAUUAUAUAUUUGAAUGUAAAAAUUAGUAUAAAGCCGAUAACUAAUCAAUUUAUGAAUAUUAUUUUUAAUGUGUGGAAGCACCUUAAUUAGUAAACAAAGUUCAAACUUGCAUCAAAUUAUACUCCCAAAAAUAUACAAAAUUUAGCUACCCUUUCUUCUUUCAAUCCGCUCUGCUGGACUUGUAUUAGGGAUGAGCAAAACUUGAUUUAAUUUGAAAAAAUAAAAAAAUUUCAAAUUUCGAAUUAAUCGAAUCGAGUUAUUCGAGUUAUUCAAUUUUUUUGAGUCAAGUUAAAUAAGUAGUUUGAGUUUCAAGUUCAAGUCGAGUUGAAUUUUAUAAUUCGAAUAACUAGAAUAAUUUAAUAACAUUUUGGUAUAACUGCUCCUUUAGUCCCCGUCAAGUUUAAAAAUGAGCAAAUCAGUCUCUCUCUUAACAAAAAUUACAAAAAUUUCAAAAUAAUUUUUAAAAUUCAAAACAUUUAUAAAAAUUUCAAACUUUAUAUUUUUUUAAAGAAUUGUAAAAAAAAUUUGUAAAAAAAUUCUAAAUAAUAUAUAAAGAAAGUUACAAUUUUGAAAUUUUCUAAAAUAAUAAUUUUAGGGACUUAAAUAAUUUAAUUAAUCAUUCAAGUUUAUCAUAGUAAAAUAUCUUUUCUUUUUUCUUUUUUUUCUUUAAAUUUUUUUAAAUAUAUACAGUUUCAAAUUUACGUGCUCAAACAUGAUAUUAGUUAUAUUGUAAUAAUAUUUUAAUUUGACAUGAUUAAUUUUUUAAUUUAGCUCGAACAAUUUCACUCGAUUUGACUCGACCUAAAUUUCAUUUCACGCGACUCGAUUUAAAAAAAUUCAAAUCAUAUUAAGAUGAUAAAAUAGGACUUCUCAACUUGAUUAACUCAAAAUUUUUUCACUUCAUUUGAUUGAACCUUCUUCCUUAUUUACGUCGCAAUUAGAAAACAUAUAGUAGCAAGGAAGAGUUCAAUUUUUAUACGAAAAAUAAAAUUUCAAAAAGUUACAUGUGCUUUUUUUAUAAAUAUACUCUAAAAAGGGUUAAUCUAAAUUAUAAAAUCUAAAAAUUUAUUUGAUAAUGGAUCCAAUAAUGAAUAAUUUCUCUACCACCGAAUUGAACAUUGCAUUUCAGUUUUAAAAUCUAUUCUAAUCAAAGAAACCAAAUUAACUUGACUUUGAAGAAAUCAAGCCAAGUCCUACACCAUAAAUAGGCAGUCUGAUAAUUGGGUAUAUAUGCACUAAAGAUAACCAAGAAAAAUGAGACACGUUCCUACCAUGUCCUUUCAAAAUGUCUUUAAAUUCUACCCGUAUAUUUUUCCACAACUUGCAUCGCCAUUUUAUGAGAGAUCCAUCAAUUACAGACAAAAACAUAAAGGAACCCAAAGGCCAAGUCUUAUAAACUUGUCGUUAUUAGCUGUACCAGAAAAAACAACCUUGUUUGUCUAAUACAAUUCCAACUUGCAUGUUUUGUAUCCUCAUAUUCUAAUUUCUGUAGAGGAUUUUUUAUGGAAAAAAGGAAUUUUAUAAGUGAAACGGAAUGCAACAAAAGACGAUGAAAAGGAAGAUUAGAAUAGAUAUUUCAUAACAUAGAUGAUAGCUUAUAAGGUGGAGAAAAAUUACUAAGUGUGGCUGUAGGUACAAGGGUAAUAAAGUUGCACAUUAAAUAGGAGUAAUAAGAGGCAUUUUUACUAAUAAAGAAUUUAGGUCUUGUAUAAUAGUGAAUAAUCCAUUUUAAAAAAAAAAUGGAAGAUGUAUUUAAUGUUACAAGAAAAGGUUAACAUGUAACAUUUAACUAUUGAUAGAAGUUCUUGUGCUUUAAGUUUCUUUGUUGAAGAUAUAUGGAUUGACUUAUUACACCAACCUAAGUUCUCCAAAAUUUCAAAAUGGUAAAGAUAAUCGAAGAAUCUUAUCAUAUUCUUGUCGAGUAAUAUUUUAUCAUGUCUUAUUGAUAAGAGUGUUCGAGUAUUUAUACAUGUUGUUACAAAAGCUAUUACAGCUCAUGAUAGGGCCCCACUAUUUUAACUUGACUCAACUGCCUCUAGUACUGAUACUUUCUAUCCCUAGUACUGACAUUCUUUGUAAGCUCCAGGUUUGUUGGGCACGUGUCUAUGGAGCACACGAUCCUUUCUGUUCCUGGGACUAACAUUCUAGGCGGGCUCCGUACCUACUGGACUCGUGCCUAGGUGGCCUACGGAGCACACGGCCCUUUCUGCGAGCUCCCUAAGUCCUCGCGAGUUGGAUCUGUGGCCUUGCGUUACAAGAUGGGUCCUUGGCUUUGCCUUGCGAGUUGAGUUCACGAGCUCGUUCUGCGAGCAGGGUGAGCUAACUCCCCUUGCUAUCCUCUCGUGGCUCGCUUCGCACCCAAUCUUUUGGUGGGACCUAUCCGGGUCACAGGUAGGUGACCCAGAUCCUAUCUAGGACUCAGGUUGAUGAUCACCAAUGUAUAACAAUUCUAAUGUUAUUUUCAUAACUAUUUUAAUUAAGUAGUAUAAUGUGAAACAUUUUUUGCAUAUCAUCUCUUAGAACAUGAGUUGUUUUUGUAAAAGAUUUGUUCUUAAAUAAGGUUGUUUUCAAAUAAGAAUUGUUCUAAUAUAUUCUGAUCAUGAAUUUUCUCAAUUAAUUAUUAUUGACAGGUUGUUCCUAACAAUAGGUGUUUUGAAUAUAAUUAUUCUUAAAUUUCAAUUAUUCUAAAUAAGAGUUGUUUUAAAUAUUAAUUAUUCUUAACAAGAGCUAUUCUCAAACAAUUACUAUUAUAGGCAUCAACAGUUGUGAACAUAAUAGUUAUUCUAGAGCAACGGUUGAUUUGAGUGGUGAUUAUUCUAAACAAAAGUUACUCUUCAGAUAAAAAUAUUUAAAAAGAAAACAAUAGAAGUGAUUAGAAUAUAUUUAUCUCGAAGUUGAAUUUAUGUGAAUCAAACCUACUCAAACCUUAAACAACUUAAACUCAAUAUGACUCCAAUGAGUAACUUAAAAAUACUAAAAUCUCAACGAAUAAACCUAAAAUGAUCCGAACCCAUAUUAAUGAAAUCCAAAAUUAAUCCUAAACAAAUAAUUUAAAAUUUUUAACUGGAAGCAACAGAACCUGACAGAUCUACCUCAAAGUAAAACUCAUUUCAAAGUGAGACAAAUUAGAUUAUUACUUGCAGUCUUGCAUACUACAGUCCUUAUAUAUAUAUGUCAGAUGUUUUAGGUAAUCUGUGACAAUGGAGUUCUUUCACUGUCUUGGACGUAGAUGUAGCCAACUGCCACAUUGAAUAGUAUUUCACUUCCAUCCUCAUCUGGACCCAAACUCGUCAUCUUUGUAGACUAAGGCUUAGUUUGGAUAGGCGGUGUGUUUACCUCCAGUGAGGUUAAAAACAGCGGUGGCGGUGAGAUUAGUUACUGUAGCAGUGAGAUUGGAUAUUGUAGCGGUGAGAUUAAAAACAAUGGUGGAGUGUGUGUUUGGAUUCAAACGCAGCUAUAGCGGUGAGAUAAGAAUAAAAAAUGACUAUUAAUGACAUCAGAUUAGAAUUGAUAUAUAAUAGAAGUUUUUAAAUUAUUUUACUUUUUUAAAAUUAUUAAAAUAUGUGAAUUUAUAAAUUAAAUUAAUAAAAUAUUAAAAUGUAUCUUCCAAUAUUUUAAUGAAUUAUAUAAUUAAUUUAAAUUAUUUAUUAGACAAAAUGAUAAUUAUUUUUAAUUUUUUAAAGUUAAAUAUUUUUUAUAACAAUGAUAAAUAUUAUUUUCAUAAAUAGUAACAUUAUACUUAGAUCAAAUUUUGAAGUAUCUAAAUAGAUGAUUUUUAAUUAAAAAAAUAUAAUAACAUAAGACAUAACAAGUUUCAUUAUUACUAGAAAUUUUUAAUUAUAAAUAAUUUAAAAUAAUAAAUAAUUUUUAAUUUUUAAUUAUAAAAAAUACUUAUUAAAUUUAAUAUGAAGAUUGUAUAUAUUAAAUUAAUAAUAUUAUUUGAAAUUCUUAAAUAGAAAAUUAGAUGUAAAAGGAUAAAAGAAAAAGUAAAAAGCAUGGAUGAAAAGGUACUUUCCAUCUUUCAAAUGGAGUUGCAAAUUCUCACUGCAUGUAGAACCUCCAGUGGCGCCACUGAUACUACAGCAUGAUGAGAAGACUCCAGUGCGGCAAUGGGUAAAAUCCAAACACCAAUAUCAGUGCGAUUGAUUUCAAAAAAAUGGUCUAAACGCACUGAAACGGGAGAUUUUUUGUAUCCAAAGAUAGCCUAAGGCUCCCUUUGGUUUGGCUUUUACAGCCAAUGAGGUGCAGUUGGGGAGAAAAAAUGGUGCCAAUCUCACUGCUAUGCUGUUUGGUUCAGCAAGUCAGUGCAGUGAGAUUGCAUCUCCACCACACUGCUCAGCUGAAAAUCAGCUGGUGAUUUCAGCAGCAAUGAAGGUGCAGUGAGCUAUUGGUACUUUAACUCUCCAAAAAUACCCUUACUUUAACUCUCCAUAUCUUCCCUCCUCCUACCAUGCUUCUCCUUCUUCAAUUUGUGCAACCAGUUCACUUCACAAAGCUACAGGUAAGUCAUUCAUCUGCUGCUGCAACUUCUGCUGCUGCAACUUCUGCCAUUUUCAACCAUGUUUGGUUGUGGUUGUGGUAGUGGACUUUUGUGGACUUUUCAACCAUUUUCAACUUCUGCCACUACCAAUCUUCUGCAACUUAUGCCAUUUCUCUGUAACAAAGGUGCACCGGAAACUUGAAGAAGAUGAUAGAUGGAUAGAACAAGAGAUAUAUAAUCGAUAUAAUAGAUGGACAGAACAAGAUGAUAGAUGGACAGUGUUAGAAUUGUGUGACCCAAAUUCUAAGAGAUUGCUUGCAAGUCAAGUUAAACAAAAAUAUAUUUUCUUUCUAGAAGAUUUAGUAUUUAUUAGUAUAAUAUAUUUAGCAUUUAUUAGUAUAGUUUAUUUGACUUACUAAUUUAGCCUAUAAAUAGGCUCUUUUACAAUCUUAGAAAUGAGACACACCCAUUAGAUUAGAACUCAUAACACAUUCAGAGAAUUUUGUGUUUACGUUUUCGGGUUCUUUGUUUUUCGGAUUUUCGAGUUUAGUUUUUAUCUCCAUCUUUUGUACUCUUCAUUCUUUUGCCAUUAUAGUAAAAUUAUCUUUGCCCGUGGUUUUUUAUCCUCUUUGGAGGGGUUUUUCCACGUUAAAUUUGUGUGUUCAUCUUCUCAAUUUCUUCUGUUAUUUGUACUUGUUUGUUGCUUAAUCGGGACGAUCCUAACAGACAGAAACCUGAAGAAGAUGAUAGAUGAAGAUGAUAGAGGUGUUAACUUUGCAAUACAACUACAACAUUUCUAUGAUGGGUUGGAUGGACAGAACAAGCGACAAUUUGAUUUUAUAGCUAGAGGGAGUAUUUGGUUAAAAAUAGGAAGAUAAAUAAUCGAUAUAUUGGAAAAUGUCAGCAAGAAUGAGCUUACAUGGGGCAUAAACCAAGAGAUAUAAAACGCUAACCUAGCAGAAUGUACACUCCAAAAGUAAACAUCUUAUAACCUGGAAUUAGGAACAUUAGAUUUUGUUGAGCCUAAUAAAGAUGAACCAGAGGAGGAAAGUAUGAAUAAUGCAGAACAAGAGAAAAACGAGCUAGCCUUUCAACUUGACUGGUGGUGUAAAAGUAAAGAAUAUCCAAAACAGGUAAUUCCAACCAUAACUAAAAUGGUUCCUUUUAUUAUUAAAACACCUAAAUUGGAAUUGAAACCACUGCUUGAACACUUGAAGUAUGAGAUGUUUGGGAGAAAAGAACACCUUGCCAGUAAUUACAUACAAGGAGUAUGUAAAAAUAACUUUUUCAAAAAAUAUUAAUAAAUAAUUUAAAUUAAUUAUAUAAUUUAUUAAAAUAUUAGAAGAUAUAUUUCAAUAUUUUAUUAAAUGAAUUUAUAAAUUCACAUAUUUUAAUAAUUAAAAAAAAGUAAAAUAAUUUUAAAAACUUCUAUUAUAUAUCAAUUCUAAUAUGAUGUCUUUAAUAGCAAUUUCUUAUCCUCAACUCACCGCUACAGUGCGUUUGAAUCUAAACACACACUCUACCAUUGUUUCUAAUUUCAUCGCUACAGCAUCCAAUCUCACCGCUACAGUAAUUAAUCUCACUGCCACCGCUGUUUUUAACCUCACCGGAGCUAAACACACCGCCCAUCCAAACUAAGCCUAAAUCAUAUACGCAAACAAUCCAAAAAUCUAUUGACUUGACUCAUAUUUUUUAUUAAGGAUCAGAUAAUCUUCUACGAUGGACCAAAACUUUAUCCCUUACUAAAAGCACCCAUAUCAUAAAUUUCAUAAUAUAGCUGAGCUCUCUCGUCUUAUGAUCCAAACAAGGAGGUAAAGCCAAAAAAAAAAAGAAAUGCAGAGCUCCACAGUUUUCAUAACCCUGUGGCUGUUAUUAAUAGUCUUUUCCGUGCUUAGCCCUGAAACUGAAGCUCAGCCGCCCACUUAUCGCUACCACGUUUGUCCUAACACCACCACUUUCCUCAUAAAUAGCACUUACCAAGCCAACCGUGAUACCCUCUUAACUUCUCUAUCGUCUAAUGGCAGCCGUGGUAAUGGUUUCUACAACACAACUUCAGGCAGAAACCCCGACACGGUUUACGGUCUUUUCCUCUGCCGUGGGGAUCUUUCUACCAGCGUUUGUCAAGCGUGUGUCACCUUCGCCUCUACAGACAUUUCCCGACGUUGUCCUGUUGAAAUAGCAGCGGUGGUUUGGUACGACGAGUGCCUCCUACGAUACUCGGACGAAAAUAUAUUUUCCGCCGUGGCUGAAGAACCUGCAAUUGUAUUGUUUAAUACUAAGAAUGCAACUGGGACAGAAAUCCCUUUCGACCAGCUAGUGGCUGCCACAGUUGUUAUGAACAUGAACGAUAUAACAACCCAAACGGAAAAUAAACCCGCAGGUUCUAAAAAAUUUGCGACAAGAGAGACCAAACUUUCAAGUUUUCAAACACUGUACACGCUCGCCCAGUGUACACCGGACUUAUCAGGCAGUGGUUGCAGUAGAUGUCUGCAAGGAGCACGAGAAAAUCUUCCAAAUGGAUGGCAAGGCGGAAGAGUGUUGAGUCCUAGCUGCAACGUCAGAUAUGAAACUUACCCCUUCUAUAAUCUAGCGGCUGUUUCACCUCAACCUCCUCCAGCACCAGGUUUAUCCUCACUGUUAAUUGAUAAAUUUGAUUCUUUCCUUUUUCCUUUUUUAUAGUUCAUGAAAAAAAGAAAACAAGAUUCACUACAUUCUCUUUUCUUUUUUCUUUUUGGUCGGUAAUUUGUAAAUUAAUAUAUAGGUAAAGAACAAGCCCCUGUUUUCAUGAGGAUUAGAAUGAACUGAAUUGAGAAUAUCUAAUUCUGCUCUUAUUUAAUUAGAAGAAGAGAAACAAAACAAAUCAAACCGGAUUCCAGUACUUGUUGCAAGUUUAUCAGCAAUUUUUGGGCUGGCUGUGGUUUUUAUCUCUGCUUUCUUCAUCUGGAGGAGGAGAAACAGUAGAGGUACACAUCGGAGUGAUCUUUCUGGCAAGUAUUAUAACUUCUUUUUAUAUUCUUAUGCUGAUCAUAUUAUGAUUUUAUUACAGACGAAGAAAACAGCCAAGAAGUUCAAUUACUUGGCUUGGUAAAUGAGCACUCAAGGGAAACUUUUAACGGAGAAAAUGGGGAGAGAUCUCAGGAGUUUCCUUCUAUACGGUUGGAUGUUUUACAUGCAGCUACAAAUCACUUUUUUGAUGAAAAUAAGCUGGGACAGGGUGGAUUUGGUCCUGUAUACAAAGUUAUUAUAUAACUUGAAACUUUUAUGUGAGUUGGCUUUAGAACUGAUGUAUGCGAAUUAAGUAUGUGAAUACUCCUGCAUUUGAAUUUUGAUAUGCUAUGUAAAUGAAUGAAUUCUUCCAGGGAACAUUAGCAGAUGGUAAAGAAAUUGCAGUUAAAAGGCUGUCAGAAACUUCCAGUCAAGGGCUUGUUGAAUUCAAGAAUGAAAUCAUGUUAAUUGCUAAACUACAACAUAGAAAUCUUGUGAGGCUCUUAGGAUGUUGCUUAGAGAAAAAUGAGAAGUUGCUUGUAUAUGAAUUCAUGCCCAACAAAAGCCUGGACGUUUUCCUAUUCGGUUUGAUUCUUGAACCUUUAACUAAUAAGAAAAAAAACAUGAAACAAUUAAUGAAAAUGUACUCAUUUGUUUAUUUUUUAUUCUUUUUUUCCACAUUUAUAUCAGAUUCGAAAUUAGCUGCUCAACUGGAUUGGCAGAAACGAUUCAACAUUAUUAAAGGAAUUGCUCGAGGUAUUUUAUAUCUACAUGAAGAUUCUCGUCUAAAAAUUAUACAUAGAGACCUUAAAGCAAGUAAUGUUCUACUCGAUCAUGAGAUGAAUCCAAAAAUUUCUGAUUUUGGUAUGGCAAGAAUUUUUGAAGAUAAAAACGAAGCAAAUACCAAUAGAGUCGUUGGAACAUAGUAAGUAUGCAUAUUUUCAUGACACAUUCCUUUACAGUGAGAGGCUUAUGGGAAUAUUUUUAUUUAAUUAUUUUCUUUGUUUAUAAAAUUUUCUAUGAUAUCAUCUAAUUUUAUUUUAAUAAAUUGUCUCUUUAUUUCUUAUGAAUUAAAAUAGUGGAUAUAUGGCACCAGAAUAUGCUAUGGAAGGACUCUUUUCUAUCAAAUCUGAUGUUUUCAGUUUUGGAGUCCUUUUGUUGGAGAUUAUUAGUGGACAAAAGAACAAUGGUUUUCAUCAUUUAGAGCAUGGUGAAAGCUUGUUGACUUUUGUAUGUUCUUUAUCCUCCCUUUUGUCCUCAAACUAUAGAUUAAAUGUUUUAACCAUUCUACGAAUAAUUUUAAGCUACAAUUGUAGGCAUGGAAAUUAUGGUCCAAGGGCGAAGGAAUGGAGCUAAUAGAUCAGGUCCUUGUUCCUUCAUGUGUGGCUUUUGAGGUGCUUAAAUGCAUUCAUAUCGGGCUAUUAUGUGUGCAAGAAGACCCGGCAGAUAGACCAACCAUGUCAUCUGUGAUUUUCAUGUUGGCAAGUGAUAGUACCAUAACACUUCUUUGUCCAUCUGAACCAGCAUUUUCCGUUGGGCGUGCAAUUACAAAACCAGCUGAACCUAUUUCAGAUGAUGGAGUCUUUUCGGUUAAUGAGGUCACAAUUUCAAAUUUCUCACCUCGCUAAUUUGAUUGUUGUACUAACAAUACUAGUUUAUCAAAAAACUUUCAUUUUUAUUUCCCAGUCUAAAUUAACAACUAUGAAUACUAAAGCCAUGAUUUGUAAGAACUUGAACCUGAAACUAUAUAUACAUAUAUUUGAAUUUUAAAUUGAGUAUCAAGUUGGUGAUAAAUCAAUUUAAGAAUAUUAAUUUUUUACUCAAAAUUUUUAAUGUAUCGUGUCGAAACCACUUUUUGAAACAAAAAUUUAGUUGUCCGACUUUGAAAAUGAAAAUGGGAGUCGCCACCGAUCAUUUAUUGAGGUGUGAUCGGCUCACCUUGAAAAUGAUUUUGGUCUGCAAAUUUUGAGAAAACAGGUUCGGGAGUCGAUUACGCACGAGGAAAUGUUAGCACCCUCGUAACGCCCAAAAUUGGUACCUAAUUGAUUGUUUAAUGUCUUAGUGUCGAAAAUUUGAAAAGAUUUUAAAAUACGAUUCUUUUAACUUGAAUAAAUUGAAUAAUAAAACACUCUUAUUUCAAAUAAAUAAAAUGUCACACCCAGUGAGUUAGGGCGCAGCAUUUUUAAUCUUUUGACUUUUAAAACUCAUGCAUGUUGAGAAGGAUAUUUGGUUGUUUGGGUCAAAUAAAAAAUCAAAAUCCAGUAAGUUAGGGUUCAAUUUCCCAAAAUUCCUAAAUACCGCAUAUUGCUUUUAUUUUUAGAAGAAUCCUCAUCUCGAGAAAACAACAUGUCAUAUCCAAUGCGUUAGAACACAACGUAUCGAAUUCCCGAGAAUGAGCUUUUUUUAUUUAUGUGUUUUGAUUAAAGCAUAUCCUCGAUUAUUUAGAUUCAACGAGGAAAAUUAGAACCCAAUACAUUAGGGCUCAAUCUUCUCGAAGAUCCCAAAUGGCGAGUAUUACGUUAUCAUGAAAGUUUUGAAUAAAAUGAUUUUAAUAUUUAAAUGAAACAUAAUCUUAAAAUACAUGCAAAUGAACUCGAAUAAUCUAUCAACACAAACGAAAUGAUAUAAUGUACACGAUAUUACAUAAAAAAAAUUAAAAAGAAGUAAUAACUAACGUGAAGAUUUGAAAUAUUUAAAAAUAAAACUUGAGAUGAAUACUACAUGAAAUAAUAUUUAAAUGAAUUUUAAAAUGAAUAUUGCAUGAAAAGAAAACCAAAAUACGUGAAACGAUAUAUACACGUUAAUUUAGAUAAAUGUUACAUAUGGAUUGGAAGAUUUCCUACAAUGAUAUAUGUAUAUUAAUAUGUAUAAAAAAAUUGAUGUAAAUCAAGUAUAUAAUAGGAUAAUGUUUUAAAUGAAGCAAAUUAUGUAUGUAAUAAGUAGAGGAUAUGUAAAUGUGAAAUCGAUGAUAUGUUAAUAAUCAAAGAUAAUUUAAUACAAAUUAUAAAUUUAUAUAUGUAUUAAAAUAACAUUAUAUAAAAACAUUAUUGGUUUUUAAAGCAUAAAAAUAUGCAUACAUAAAAAUUUUAGAGCAGAUAUAUUAUAAAAAUAAAUCAUAAAAAAUAUCUGGAUAAUAUUAGAUUAACAUAGAAAUAUAUAUAUAUAUUAGAUAAGAAAAGAAUUAAAAUAACUUUGUAUAAUAAAAUAAAAUAUUGUACAUAUGUAGAAAUAAAUAAACAUGUAAACUAACAUAAUAGUAAUACCAAUAAUAAUAACAGUAACUAAGAAACUUAAAUAAUUUUAUAGCGACAAUAACAAAACAAAGGACUUAAUUGACAUUAAAACAGUAAUUCAGAGAGGAAAUCUAAAAUAAAUAAAAGGUUGGGACCAAAUUACAAAGCACGAAUAACAUGGGGGAUCAGAAUAAGAAAUAUCCUGUCUCCCAAAACGCUUCAUAGCAUAAUGGACCCAGAUGAAAUCAACAACAAAUUGUGUUGCUCAAAAUUAAAGAAAUUCAAAAGACCGAAUUGAAAUACAACACAAAAUGAGGACUUGGUUCCCAAUUACCCCUCCCCACACCAAACACGCGGAUCUAGCCGCAGUUGGACCGAGUCAUCAGGUAUAGCUCAAUACGACACCGUUUUGGUGCCAUCGAAGCAAGGCACAAACGGUGCCGUUUCAAUAAUAUGUAUUAAACAAAGAAAACUAAACCUAAGCAACCCUAAAGCCAUCCCUUCUGCGCCGCAUCAAAAAUCGAAAGCCCCCCAUCCAUUCAACUCCAAUCCGAACGGAGGGAUUCGGUGACGCACCAACCCCAAGUAUGAGUUCUUCCUUUUCUUUUCUAUUUUUCGUAUCAAAGAAAGAAAGAAGAAAAAAAAAGUGCAGUAGAAAGACGUAAAAAAAUGGUAAAUCACCUUCUUUGAUUUUUUUUAUUCAGUAUGUCUGUAUUCCAUCGUAAAAAAGGAGACCCUCAGUACAUCAAGAAAUCAGGCUUUUAUAGCCUAAAAAAAUGAAAAAAAACUCUAUUUUCUAUUUUCUUUUUCCCUUUCUUUUUUUCUGUUAUCUUUCCCUUUUUCUGUUAUUUGCUUUUCUUUGUUGUUGCUUGUGUGCGUUCGUUGCAAGUACAGCUGGCCUGGAGAAGACACGCGUGGAGGAGUCGGAGACUACUGGCACACGCGCGGACGAACCUAGUUUCCUAGUGCGGCUGCUGGAGCUGAAAGCUGUUGAAGGCUAGGGUUUCAAUUUGAAUCGGGCCAUGUAAACUGGGUUAGAGUAUUUUGGGCUCGGGUUUGAUGUAAUUUGGGUUAUCAGGCUUACAGCGUGUUUGGUUCGCCGUAUUACCCAAUCCAUUACGCCCCGAUUACGCGCGUAUUACAUUACGCCCCUAAUCCGGCGUUUGGUUCGCUGUAUUAGCCAUUACGCGCGUAUUACAUUACGCCCCUAAUCCCCAAAUUCCCGUGUUUUACAAUCCGUUCCCAAAUCGUUGUAUUAGCCAUUACGCCCGGCCUCCCUCCCCAUCUCUCUGUUUUACCCUCCCUCCCUACCCGACCCUCUCCUCUUCCGUCCUAAUCAUUUUCUCCUCCCAUUUCCCACUGAUUCCGUUGAUUAAUCUGUCGUCAUCGUUUCUUCUCGUCUCGGCAUCAAAUUUCCCUUCCCCAUUUCCUCCCAACACUAUCUGCUCCGCACACCAAAACCCUCUCUUUUUCUCUUCAAUAUAUUCACAAAAUUGGAAAUUCUAGCAGCAGCAGCAGCCAAAACAGUAACCAGCAGCAGCCCCUCUUUCUUCUCUUUCUUUCGAUUUCACACUUCUCAUAAAUGGAACAUUUCAAUCAGAAAAUGGAAAAGAGAAAUCAGUUGCAUGAGAAGGAAAAUUACUAAGGUUGUUGGUUUGCAUAUUUAACUGGGUUAAUCUUAGAAAUCUUGAGGGAGAAAACUUGUGACAUAAUGCAGACUAUUAGUUAGAACAGGAACUAUGUUUGGUGAUACCCUCUGAGAGUAGUAAUUUUUGGUAAUAGAGAGGAUGGUUAAGCAGUACAACUUUCGAUUAUGACUGCAGGAGGGUCUGACUAGGACAUUCAUUAAACAUUGGCUUAGGACUAAUAACUAUUUGUGUGCAAGAAGGUAGAAAUAUUUGUUAGUAAGACUUCUUAAAAAUUGGAUGUAGGGUUAAUAGUAUUAAGAAAACUGUAUUAGUUGUAUGUUUGGUGCCGCCCUGGUCUGUGAAUGGUGAUUUGCUCUUUAGGUGGGGAUUUUGAUGAUUACCUGAUUUUGGUUUAUGCCUGUUUUUGCAAGCAGCAUUUUGGCAUCUAUGUUGAAGCUAGUAGCCAAAAGAAUGGAGGUUUUAUGCUUGGUAGCAGUUUUGAGUAGUAUUGAAAAUUUUAGAAAGGGACAAAGAUAAACACAUACACACACAUCGUGUAGGUGCAAACCUAAGAAGAAGAAUGAAGUUCCUCUAGCAAGUAUCUUAGCCAAAUAAGUCCACAGAAGAAUGAGCCAUAGCUGUGUAGCCUUAUUUGGUACUUGGUCUUGCAACAAGGGCCUUCUUCUUAAUCUUCCAUGAUAAAGAUAGUUGUAGAGAUAUCUAUCAAUAUCUUGAGGGUGGCAGUGAGUGUUAUACAAUUGAUGACUAUUUAGGUUGAUCUGAUGUAUUUGAGAAGUAUGUCGUAAAUAAAAGUAAUAUGCUAUGUUUACAACUGAUGGGAAAUUUUGAAGUUCAGUGAUGUAAUGAGGUCGGAAAUUUCCAUGUCAAGAUAACCAUGUAGCAUUUCCAACUUUUUCUAUAACGUAUCAGCAACUAGGGCUGUUAUUCUUUUAUUUUAGUCAUAACCUUGGUGUUUGUUAUGGUCAUUGUAAUGUCAUUGCAAAGGCCGAUGCAUAAUUUGGCUCCUUUUAGAGUUUCUGAUUGUACCGGAUGCACAUCUGCCUUUGGAACCUCGAGUCAAAAUAAAAUGUUAUGAUCUUUUCUUGCCCUAGAUUAUUGAAACCUGUCCGGAUAACAUGAUUAACACCUACUUUUUAGAUGCUUUAAGCUUGAACAUGCUUUAUUGUUCUUUCAUAAAACCGCAAAUUUGUUGCUCAUGUCUCAGCAAUAGAUAUGAAAAAAUUUGGGACUUGUUUAUGUGUAAUUUCUUUUUCCUUUGAAAACUGUAAGUAUAACUCUUAAAAUUGCUUCUGUACCUCUAUGUUUGAAUCAUUGAAAUUGCAUUUGCUAAUUUUUGAACUCAUUGAUAUUCUCUUCAGUGGCUCUCUAAAAACAUUGGUAAGAAGGUGGAUAAGUCAGCUCUCUCUAAUGGAUCUGCAAUGACAGGUACACCGUUUAUUGUUCCAGGUUACUAUUAAUACUCAUCGGGCUAAUUUUUGUUUUCAUUUGUGCAGAUAAGAGUACAUCAGCACCAUCAGGUGUUCCGACUGCUUCUCUUAAAGUCCUUCGUCCAGAUACAUCUCAGAUGGUGAUUUAUGAUCCAAGGCAGCAUCAUGGUACAAGCUUUUGCUUGAGUAAAAAUAUAUGCCUGUGAUUUUUUCAAUGGUAUUCUAUUUUUUUAGCAACUUCAUUGGGCCACGAAUGGAUGGAGUAUCUCAUUUUGUCAUCUUGUUUAAUUAUGGUGUUGACUUGUUCAUAUACAUUGGUCAUUAGCAGUAUUGAACUUGAAACUAAAGAUAUCCUUUGCGUAGACUUAUGCAGUCAUUUAUGCAUGAAAUAGGCAUAUGAUUCUGUAGAAAAAUUAGACCUCAUUGCCUCAAUAAUCAUGUGGUUGUUUCCAAUAGUUUUUUAGUUUCCUUUGCUACUUUAGGUUGUUGUCUUUGUUUUAAUUAAAGUCUUAUCUAUUUGCUUUGGUCAUUAGCGAGAUUGCAAUAGAAGCUUUCAAGAAGUCCUUUUUAGAGAAUUAUGUGGUCAUCUGUGUAUGAAUAUUCAAGCACUGCUUUGAUGUGAUUAACAAAUUUACUCUUCUGAUUCUUUCUAGUGAACAUCUGAUGUAAUUUGACUUGGAAAUGAAAUUAACCAAAACUAUUGUUAUUCAUGUAAGUGAUACGGGAAAUGAGAGCAAUUAAAAUGCUCCGUAGGUUUUGUUUGUCUGAUCGAGCUCUUCAUUCUUAGGUGAGGUCAUAUGGCUGAUUCUGGGAUUUAUCUUAUUAGAUGGUCUUUGAUGCACACUGGUGAAUACGAAAGAUUAUGAGAUGUGCAUGCGCCCGAGUAAUUUAUAAAUCAAGCCUAAAUCAUUGAUCUAUAAAUAGCAAAGCAGUUUUACUUAAAACUGUCAUAUAUGUCCAGGAAUAUGCCUAUUCAUCUUUGUAUAACUACCGUCGUGAAUCUUGGAAAUGGCAAACCAAAUAUGAGUAUUAAGAGAAAAGAAAUAUAAAAUGUAUUAGAAUGGUAAACGAUAAAGAGAAAAGCUCAAGUUAGCCAAAGGGCCAGGCAUUGAAAAGGAAAAGGAACCAUAGAGAUUCUCCAAUUUUCAAAGUCAAGGGUGUUGGCUUAGAACGGGUCAAACAUAAACAUGUAUCUCCUAUGCUACUAUUAUGCGUUUAGAAGUGGUGACCCCUAACUAGCUUAUAACUUUGUUGAAAACAGUAUUGUAUUAACUUCAAGAGAAAUGAUGCUGGGUGAUCGUGUGGUGCAGUGUAGUUAUAUUUCCGUUUUCAAUAUAUUAACUUCAAUAGAAACGGUGCUGGUUGAUCAUGUGAUGCGGUGCAGUUAUACUCCUUGGUGUAACUUUUAAGGAAUUAUAGCGGUUAGGAUUUUACGUUGUUUCUUUUUUCCAUUCCCUUUUUUGUGUAAUUUCCUCAUCGAGAUAGAAGAGGGAAGGUUUUGAGAGAGGCUGGGGUCGGAUGUUUAAAAUCUAUAUCUGAUAUGUACAACAAAUUAUUUUAUUUUGCUGUUCUUUUGGGCUUGAUAAUGGCUUUAAAGGUCACCAGCUUUUAGCAGUUCUGCUCAUUUACCUUCCGGCAAUUGACAUGACUUAGAGUGGCAAAUGUUAUGCUUUUACCUCUUAUAACAUUGAAUUGUAUGCUUGUUGAAUCAUAUUGAAAUGCUAGAUACUUAACUGACUAAACUUGUUUGAAUGUAGGAACUACAGUUCCAUCAAACACCACUACUGCAAUUCUUGCUGCUCCCAAUUUGUCGAAUCCCAUGGCUACAGUUGUUGGUGCUGCUUCAAACCCAUUAACCUAUAAUUUGUAGUUGAAUUUGAAUUAUGAUCCAAAAUGCAACAUAUCAAUGAUGAAAUACGGCGAUGCAUCUGCUUGAAUUUCUCUGUCUAGUUGGCCUUUUAAGUCCCUUCUGAUUUGGUAUCCUUGGAAAAUUAUUUGUUUUGCACUCUUGGCAUUUUAAUAUCAUAUUAGAAUAACUAGUUUAUAACUUUGGAGUAAUGAUUCAUUGUAAUUUUACCCAUUUUUAUAUAUUUCUUUAAUUUUUUAGUUCAUCACAAGGUUCAUGCCAUAGGGGCAAAGCUAAAAUCAAAAAAUAAAAAAGAACCUCAUUGAGGAAGAAAAUUCAGAGAAUAAGGUAAGAAAACCAAAAAAUAUAGCAACUGAGAGAAUAUACAGAGCUAUGUUUCUCCGACUCUUCAUUUUGCUUGAAGUAUCCCUUUUUUAUACCCCUGUCAGAGUAUUCAUUUUUCUUAAAGUAUUUGGUUUCAACACCCAUGCCCGACGAUGAAAGAACCUCUUUGAGAAAGUUAUACAAUAGAUUUAUUAUAUAAAUUAUUUUAAAUUAUAUAAAUUCAUAUAAGAAAAUUUAUUAUCAAUAAUUUUAUGAAAUUAUAUCUUAUUAAAUUAUAUGUAAUAAUAAUUAUUUUAAAUUAUACAAAUUCAUAUAAGAUAAUUUAUUAGUUAUAAUUAUUUUAAAUUUUAUUAAAUCAUAUAUUUUAUUUAAAAUAUAUUUAAUAUUAAUCAUUUCAAAUUAUCUUUUAUAGUAUCAUAUAUUAUGAUUUGAGUAAAUUCAUAUAAGAAUAUUAAUUAUUAAGAAUUUUAUUAAAUUAUAUAUUUUAAUUAUAAUAUAUUUAAUAUAUUUAAUAAUUAUUAUGUUUAAAUAUGAUUAAAUUAUUUAUUUUUGAUAAUAAAUAAUCUUAUUAAAAUUUAAAUAGCAAUAACAAUAAUCAUUUACCAAAACAAAUUUAUGCUAAGGGUAUUCUGGUCAUUUUAGUUUUCUCCAUUAUGCUAUUACACCUCUAUUACAUUCAACCAAACACAGUUUUACUAUUACGCCUCUAUUCCAUUACAUUCAACCAAACAGUUGAUUUGCUAUUACACCUCUAUUCCAUUACACCUCUAAUCCAAUACACCUCUAAUCCAAUACACCUCUAAUCCAAUACAGCGAACCAAACGUGACGUUAAUGUAUUUAGGUAAUUUAGGUUGGGUUAAUUGGGCUAUCAGUUUGUAAUUUGGGCCUGGUGUUGGUUAAUGUAAUUAGGUAAGGGGUUAACAAUCAGAUUUGUGAUAUUGGGGCUUAGUGGUCUGAUGUAUUUUGGGUUUGGGUAAAUUAAUUGGGCCUACUGUUGUAAUAAACUGGACAUUUAUUUGGUUUAUUUUAUUUCAUUUUAAUUUGGUGUUUAUUUAUCUAUGAUUUUAGACCCAGGCUAAAAUUGGGUAUUACAUAUCGAAGCACCUAAGAAAGUUGAAAAUUAUAUGGAUUUAUACUUUCUAAAGCAUAUAUAAUUUAGCUACUCUUUGCUAUUUGCAUAAGGAAACAAACAUAUAGCAGGGAAGAGUGUGAUUUUUAUACUCUUGUAAUGAUAAAGGAGUUGCAAUAAUUUAUUUCAUUAGUUUACACUUAAUCUGGAAUUCAAUUUCAAUAAAAGAAUCCAGUUAACUUCCAAAGACUAGUCUUGCAUCUAGAAAUUAAGAGUUUGGAUACGUGUUACCUUGUGCAAAGUGUCGCUACUUUGUGCAAGUUUCUCGUAUGCUCAGUUCAGAUUAAUUCAAAUUAUAUGGAAAAUUAUAACUGUGUUUGACAAAAAUACAAAUUUGUAUGGCUUAUGUUACUCCGACAACAAUAUGAUAUUUCAUUGCUCGAACCCGACGAUUUGAUGAGGAAAUAAAGGGUUACAUUUAGUAAUAUCAGUAACCAAGUCAAUGGAAUGCUUUCACUGUCCCUGACAUGGUCAUGUAGCCAACUGCCACCUUGAAUAUUAUUUUUUGUUCACUUCUGCCCCAUCCAUUCAUUGGGAAGCCCUAAACAAAAUACAGCAAGAAUAGUUCAACAUGCGUAAAUUAAUGUUUUUAGUCAUAUUGACAAAGAAUUGACUAACUUGUGUAGCUUCCUCGAACAGAAGCUGCUUUAUCAUCUUCAUCUUGUGAGAACGGGUCAACAAAAUACAGCCACCUUCGACAAUUGAACUUUUAAUUUGUAAGUGAAUUCCUUAAAGAAACAUGCAACGGAAAUUUCAAGAACAAUAUUGUUUCAGUUCUUGUUUUCAGGUUUAACAUUUACAUACCUCGUUACUCUCACCAUUUCCUUCGACCCUUAUUUCCAGCGUUAUUGGGGAACAUCAUCGGCAACUACACCGCCAAUAGUGCCUACGAGCGUGACCUGAAUAGCAUCUUCAAGGAGAUCACCUCUACAACAAAAUCCAAUUAUCGGUUUUACAGCAACAAGGUCGGCGAAGUCAACGCCAUGGCACUUUGCAGAGCAGAUGUUAAGGUAGAUGUUUGCACUAGUUGUUUAUAGGAAAAUAUCUAAUUAUUAUUAAAAAAAAAGUUAACAAUUCAAAUCUAAUUAUUUUGAACUUGAAUUGACACAUAGAAUAGAUUUAAACUCAAAAUGACUCAAACAAAUCAUUUCAAAUUACUAAAGUCUAAAAAGAUCAAAACUCGAUCCAAAUUUAUAAUGACGAACUUAAAAGGCUAGUACUUCAACCAUAAAUAAUUCAAAAUCCUAAAUUAAUCCUAAUUGAAAUAAUCUAAAAAUUUUAAAACUAGAUUACUUGCAGGCUUGCUUAUUACAGUCCUUGAAUACAUGUCAUUUAUUGGUAACCAAGUCAACGGAGUGCUUUCAUUGACCCGAACAUUGUCAUGUAACUAACUGCCACAUUGAAUAAUUAUUUAUCAUUUACUUCCGUUCCAUCGAUUCAUUGCGGAUCCAGCUCUUCUUGUAGACCAAUUUACACAACAAGACUGCUUUAUCAUAUUCGUAUUGUUAGAACCAGUCAACAAAAUACAGCCACCUUCAACAAUUAAACGUUUAAUUUGUAAGUGAAUUCCCUAGAGAAAAUGGCAACGGAAAUUUCAAGAACAGUACUGUUUCACUUCUUGUUUUCAGGGUUUAACAUUUACAUUCCUCGUUACUUUUGCCAUUUCCUUCGACCCUUAUUUCCUGCAUUCUUGUGCAAACAACAUCGGCAACUACACCGCAAAUAGUGCUUACGAGCGUGACCUCAAUACCAUCUUCAAACAGAUCACCUCUAUUACGAAAUCGAAUUACGGAUUUUACAGCAAGAAAGUCGGCAAAGUCAACGCCAUGGCACUUUGCAGAGCAGAUGUUAAGCUAGAUGUUUGCACUGGUUGUUUAAAUGAAACUAUAUCAAGGGUCAAGCUGGAUUGUCCUAACAACAAAGAAGCUAUCGGAUGGUCUGCGGAUUGCACGUUACGGUACUCGAACACAAACCUCUCCGAGAAGUUGGAAAUUAAUCCUCAAACCUGUCUAUAUAAUACAGGAUCUACGGCUGAUGAGUACUUUCAGCUCAGACUCGGAGAGUUGUUGAGUGACCUGCGUAAUAAAGCAGCAGCAGGGGGUGCUCUUCUUAAAUACGCAGCAGGUAACUCGUCGCUCAGGGCUUCGGAAAGAUUAUACGCUCUAGUGCAGUGCACUCCUGAUUUGUCUGAAGGAGACUGCAAUCAUUGUCUUGAUAAGGCGGCAACUGACGGGAUUCGGCGGUGUUGCCUUAAGCAGAGGGGAUGCCGGGUUCUUAGUCCUAGCUGUAACUUGAGGUUCGAAACAUAUCCCUUUGUUGAAGCCGGAGCGGAGUUUCCACCACCCCCGUCACCCUCGGGCGAUCGGCAAAAAGAAGGUACUGUUGGGAAGAAACCGAACAACCGAAACAAAGCGAAAGCAUAACCGGUGUUCUUUCUCUCCCUAUAACUCCUGUCAAAAAUUACGGCAAGCACAAUAGCACAAGAUAUGUUCUCUAGCAACCUUAAUCAACCACAAAUCAACUAAUGCAAUCACAACAAAAAUAAAUAGAGACACCGGUAUUUUACGUGGAAAACCCCUCUAAAUCAAGGGUAAAAACCACGGGACUUUAGAGUCCGAUAAAGAGCUCCACUAUCAUCAAAUGUUCGGCUACAAGAUCACAAUAUCAAGCCUACAACAAGCAUUCAACUCCGACAAGGCUAACAAUAUGUAAUCUUUAGCAAAAGAGAGAAAAAUGAGAGAACAUCACCAAAAACGUAGCUGCUGAAAAAUGGGUAUUUCCGACGCUACAAGACUCGGAUGAAAAAUCCGACCGUACAAAGUCAAGAACACCUUAUCGCCUAGCUGCUGUCCAAAAAUCAGCUCAAUCGAACCACGGAUGGACCUUCGAUCGAAGAGUUGAUCACUGCUGCACCAAGCUUGAAAAACUGAUUUUUCUAUUCUCUCUUUUUCUCCAACGAGCUUCAAUUUCACUCUCUUUCUCUCUGGAUGUAAUUGAGAAUUUUGCUCUCAAUUAAGAAUGCUGCCCACUCCCACGUUAAAAGGCCAAAAAAUUGGCUUUUGACAAAACCAAAAAGAAGGCAAAACAUUGUGGCAGAAAAUAUGGGUUUUUCCACAUAGUGGGACCCACUCCUAACAAAUCUCCCCCUCCAACUAUGUGGGGAAUGCCUCCAUGCCGAAGGUCAAACAACAUGCUUCAAACUUUCCUCUUGGUAAGGCCUUCGUCAACAUAUCAGCACCAUUAUCAUUAGUGUGUAUCUUCUCAAGCUCUAACAGCUUAGCUUCAAGAACAUCUCGUAUCCAAUGGUACCUCACAUCAAUAUGCUUAGAUCUAGCAUGAAAAGUUGAGUUCUUACCAAGAUGAAUAGCACUCUGGCUAUCAUAGUACAGGACAUACUUCUCCUGAGUAAAACCAAGCUCAUGCACAAACUUCUUCAUCCAAAGCAUCUCCUUACACGCUUCGGUUGCUGCAAUGAACUCUGAUUCGGUGGUGGACAAUGCAACACACUUUUGCAGUCUCGAUUGCCAUGCCACAGCUCCCCCUGCAUAAGUGAUUAAGUAACCUGAAGUAGAUCUCCUCGAAUCAAUGUCUCCGGCCAUGUCUGAAUCUGUAUACCCAACAAGAACAGGUUUUUCAUUGCCGAAACAAAGUUUCAUGUUGGAAGUGCCACGAAGAUAUCUCAUAAUCCACUUCACUGCAUUCCAAUGCGCUCUGCCUGGAUUAGAAAGAAACCGACUAACUGUACCAACGGCAUAAGCCAAGUCUGGUCUCGUGCAAACCAUUGCGUACAUCAAACUACCCACGGCUGAAGAGUAAGGAAUUUUCUGCAUCUCUUCCUUCUCCUUUUCUGUGGAAGGACUAUGCUUAACACUCAAUCUAAAGUGCAUAGCAAAGGGAGUAUUCACCGCUUUAGCUUUGUCCAUACUAAACCUUUGAAGUACUUUCUCAAUGUACCUCUCUUGUGAUAACCAUAAUUUCUUGGCCUUUCUAUCACGUGUCAGUCUUAUGCCAAGAAUUUGCUUUGCUGGCCCCAAAUCCUUCAUUGCAAAGGAUUUACUCAACUCUUGUUUCAACUUCUCAAUUCUAGAAGCAUUCUGACCAACAAUAAGCAUAUCAUCAACAUAGAGCAAAAGAAUAAUAAAAUCAUCACCAGAGAAUCUCUUAACAAACACACAAUGAUCAGAAGUAGUCUUCUUGUAGCCUUGCUCCCCCAUAACAGACUCAAACUUCUUGUACCAUUGCCUUGGAGCUUGCUUCAAACCAUACAAGCUCUUCUUCAAUCUGCACACAUAGUCCUCUUUCCCUUGUGCAACAAAACCCUCUGGCUGCUCCAUGUAAAGCUCUUCUUCCAAGUCACCAUGAAGAAAAGCAGUUUUCACAUCCAUUUGUUCAACCUCUAGGUCAUAACAAGUUGCCAAACUCAGUAUAGUUCUGAUAGAGGACAUCUUCACAACCGGAGAAAAUAUUUCUUCAAAAUCAACCUCUUUUUUCUGAGUAUAACCCUUGACGACCAAUCUAGCUUUGUAUCGUGGAGAUGAAGACUUCUCUUCUUGCUUCAACCUGUAUACCCACCGAUUAUUCAAAGCUCUUUUGCCCUUAGGCAGUUUCACCAAUUCAAAAGUAUGGUUCUCAUGCAAGGAUUGAAGUUCGUCUUUCAUCGCUUCAACCCACUGAUCUUUGCAUUCACUCUCCAUAGCCUCUUCAUAACAUUCAGGUUCUCCCCCGUCAGUCAAAAGAAUAUAUUCAUCAGGAGAAUACCUGACAGAAGAUCGUCGAUCUCUAGAAGACCUUCGAAGUGGAACUGUUGGUGGAGCUAUAGGUGCUUGUUGUUGAUCAUUCACAACAUCAUCCAUGGGAGUAUCAAAGUCACCUAUAGUCUGAUGGUCACCACUAACAUCAUCAUGCACAUCAUCCUGGAUAGGAUCUGGUGAAGAGUCUAGGGGAACCGGAUUCACAUCGAUCAAGUCACCACUACCUUGUGAAUCCACUUUCUCCGUCUUAUCAAUGUCAUCAAUGGUCUGAUCCUCAAUGAAGACAACAUCUCUGCUUCUCACGAGUUUCUUCUGAACUGGAUCAUAGAGUCUAUAACCAAACUCACCGUCUAGACCAUAACCAAUAAAAAUGCAUUGUCGAGCCUUGGCAUCCAACUUGGAUCUUUCAUCCUUUGGAACAUGAACAAAUGCUUUACAACCGAACACACGUAGGUGAUCAUAUGACACGUCUUUACCAAACCAAACUCUAUCUGGCACAUCACCUUUCAAAGGAACACUAGGAGACAGAUUUAUCACAUGUGUCACUGUAUUCAAAGCUUCAGCCCAAAACGAUCUUGGUAACUUUGCAUCUGACAACAAACAUCUGACUCUCUCAAUCAAUGUUCGGUUCAUUCUUUCAGCUAACCCAUUUAACUGUGGAGUCUUUGGUGGUGUUCUCUGAUGUCUGAUUCCCUAUCGCAGACAAUACUCAUGAAACGACCCUGUGUACUCGCCACCAUUAUCAGUACGAAUGCACUUCAACUUCUUCCCAGUUUCCCUUUCAACUGAUGCUUGAAACUGUUUAAACACCUCAAAGACUUGAUUUUUAGACUUCAAAGUGUAAACCCAUAGCUUUCUUGAACAAUCAUCAACGAAAGUCACAAAGUAAAGUGCACCACCAUGUGAUCUUACUUUUAUCGGACCACAAACAUCUGAAUGGACCAACUCUAGCAACUCUGAUUUCCUAUGAGGAGGAUGGCUUCUAAAUGAAACUCUUCUCUGCUUUCCUACUAGACAAUGAGCACAAUUCUUCAGUGUAGCAUUCUUUAAACCCGAAAGUUGAUUCUUCUUCGCUAAACAGCUAAGCCCCUUCUCACUCAUGUGACUGAGUCGUUUAUGCCACAACUCAAUUGAGCUGUCAUUCAGUGUCACAUUCACCGUCUCUCGAGAAGUCAAAGCUUGCAUCAAGUACAAAUUUGAGCUCUUCUUUCCUCGAGCCACAACCAAGGAGCCUUUAGUCAACUUCCACUGCCCUUCACUGAAGGUGUUACAGAAUCCCUCAUCAUCAAGCUUUCCUGCAGAAAUCAAAUUCAAACGGACAUCCGGUGCAUGUCUGACAUCCUUGAGAGUUAACUUUGUUCCAUUGUUACUCACCAAGCUAACAUCUCUCAUACCAAUAACCGAAACCAAACCAUCAUUACCCAUCUUCAAUACCCCAAAAUCACCAGGAGUAUAAGAUGUGAAGAAUUCCUUCCUCGACGUGACAUGAAGUGAUGCACCAGUAUCAAUCACCCAACUAGUCUCGUCGCAUGCUAGGUUGACCAAAUUCUCAUCACAAAUAACUAACAGAUCUUCACGAGUAACAGUAGCAACACGCUCGGAUUUUUCAUCGUCAUUCCGAUCGUGUUUAUCACCACCACCUUUGUUCUCUUUCUUCCACUUGAAGCAAUAUUUCUUGAUAUGACCUUUCUUACCACAAUGAUGACACUCAAGAUUCUUGUAUCUCGAUCUUGACUUGCUUCGGCUUUUAUCUCUACCCUUUCCAUCUUUGUCUCUGUUUCUUCCCCUGUUCUCGAUAACCAACACCUCGGACUGUGAUGUAGAGCCCUGAGAUCUUCUAACCUCUUCAUUCAACACACCACUCUUAGCCAAAUCCAAAGUAAUAAUACCCUGUGAGGCAGAAUUAAUGAGUGAGACUCGAAAGGUCUCCCAAGAGUCUGGUAGAGUAGCAAGCAACCAAAGUCCUAAAAUCUCGUCAUCAAAUUUGACACCCAUACCAAGCAACUGAUUCAUCAUACUCUGAAAUUCACUAACAUGGUCAGCUAUAGACAUUCCUUCUUUAUAUUUCAGCGCCAUCAUUUUCUUCAGCAAAAAUAACUUGUUAUUGCCCGACCUUGAAGCAUACAAGCUUUCAAGCUUCUCCCACAAUGUUCGAGCAUGUGUCUCCUGAUCAAUGUGGUUGUAAACAUUUUCUUCAACAAAUUGCCGAAUAAAGCCACACACUUGUUGAUGCUCAAAUUCCCAUUCUUCAUCACUUUUCGAAUCGGGUUUUUGAGUAGUAAAGACCGGAAGAUGCAAAGCCUUCAUAAACAACAAGUCCUUCAUUUUAUUCCGCCAAAGUUGUUAAUUUGUGCCAUUCAACAUAAUCAUCUUGCUCGUAUUAAUUUCCAUAAUUAUCUGACACAAUAACCAAGCUCUGGUACCAGUUUGUUAGGAAGAAACUGAACAACCGAAACAAAGCGAAAGCACAACCGGUGUUCUUUCUCUCCCUAUAACUCCUGUCAAAAAUUAUGGCAAGCACAAUAGCACAAGAUAUGUUCUCUAGCAACCUUAAUCAACCACAAAUCAACUAAUGCAACCACAACAAAAAUAAAUAGAGACACCGGUAUUUUACGUGGAAAACCCCUCUAAAUCAAGGGUAAAAACCACGGGACUUUAGAGUUCGAUAAAGAGCUCCACUAUCAUCAAAUGUUCGGCUACAAGAUCACAAUAUCAAGCCUACAACAAGCAUUCAACUCCGACAAGGCUAACAAUAUGUAAUCUUUAGCAAAAGAGAGAAAAAUGAGAGAACAUCACCAAAAACGUAGCUGCUGAAAAAUGGGUAUUUCCGACGCUACAAGACUCGGAUGAAAAAUCCGACCGUACAAAGUCAAGAACACCUUAUCGCCUAGCUGCUGUCCAAAAAUCAACUCAAUCGAACCACGGAUGGACCUUCGAUCGAAGAGUUGAUCACUGCUGCACCAAGCUUGAAAAACUGAUUUUUCUAUUCUCUUUUUCUCCAACGAGCUUCAAUUUCACUCUCUUUCUCUCUGGAUGUAAUUGAGAAUUUUUCUCUCAAUUAAGAAUGCUGCCCACUCCCACGUUAAAAGGCCAAAAAAUUGGCUUUUGACAAAACCAAAAAGAAGGCAAAACAUUGUGGUAGAAAAUAUGGGUUUUUCCACAUAGUGGGACCCACUCCUAACAGGUAUGACAAUUUUCCUUCCACUGUCACUUCUUCCAACCACCUGUUAGCACAGCUUCACUUUGGAGGCACUAUAUUAGUCUAUCACUCUUGUUGAAUCGAGAAAAUUUGAUUCUGCCCUUAUUUAAUUAGAAGAGGAACCAAACAAAUCAAAAAGGACUCCAGUACUUGUUGCAAGUUUAUCAGUGAUUUUUGGGGUAGCUGUGGUUUCUAUCUCAGGUUUCUUAAUCUGGAAGAGGAGAAACAAUCAAGGUAUGCAAUGGCAAACAUUACAAUUUUUUUUUGUAUUGUUAUAUUGAUCACUUUCUUACUUUCUUCUUUUAUUAAUUUCAGAUACAGAGUACAGAGAAAUUCAAUUACUUGACUUGGUAGAGGGAAGAAUUGAUAUGUGAAAAUCAAGUUUGUAACGUUAGGUAUAAAUAAAUGAAUUCUUUCGGGGAACACUAGCUGAUGGUAAACAACUGCAGUUAAAAGGCUAUCAAGAACUUCCGAUCAAAAGCUUGUUGAGUUCAAAAAUGAAAUCAUGUUCUUUUUUCCUUUUUUUUUUCCCUACUAAGCUACAAUUUUAGGUAUGGAAACUCUUAUCUGAAUAGAGGUAGUAGAUAAGUUCCUUAUCCCGUCGAGUGUAAUUUUUGAGGUGCUUAAAUGCAUUUUGGUUUAUUGUACAUGCAGGAAAAUCUGCUACUCAGUCUAAUCAAAUCAUCUCUUAUUGUCAUGUUGGCAACCGAUAUCGUAAAGCUUGCUCGUGCAAUUAAACCAACAUCUUUUGUGGGCAUAUCAUUGCAGAAUCAAUCAAACACAUUUCAAAUGAUGAAAUUUUUUUAAUUAUUAUUAAAAUUUUUCACCUCGCUGAUUUGAUCACUAUUUUAAUUUUAAGAUUAUAUAUUUGAAUGUAAAAAUUAGUAUAAAGCUGAUAACUAAUCAUUUUAUGAAUAUUAUUUUUAAUGUGUUGAAGCACCUUAAUUAGUAAACAAAGUUCAAACUUGCAUCAAAUUAUACUCCCAAAAAUAUACAAAUUUUAGCUACCCUUUCUUCUUUCAAUCCGCUCUGCAAGACUUAUAUUAGGAAUUAGCAAAAUUUGGUUGGAUUUAAAAAAAUUAAAAAUUUUCAAAUUUAAAAUUAAUCAAAUUGAUUUAUUCGAGUUAUUCAAUUUUCUCGAGUCAACUCAGACAAGUAAUUCUAUUUUCGAGUUCGAAUCAAGUUAAAUUUUAUAAUUUGAAUAACUCGAAUAAUUUAAUAAUAUUUUGGUAUAACUACUCCUUUAGUCCCCGUCAAGUUUAAAAAUGAGCAAAUCGGUCUCUCUCUUAUCAAAAAUUACAAAAACUUCAAAAUAAUUUUUAAAAUUCAAAACAUUUAUAAAAAUUUCAAACUUUAUAUUUUUUUAAAGAAUUGUAAAAAAAAUUGUAAAAAAAAUUCUAAAUAAUAUAUAAAGAAAGUUACAAUUUUAAAAUUUUCUAAAAUAAUAAUUUUAGAGACUUAAAUAAUUUAAUUAAUUAUUCAAGUUUAUCAUAGUAAAAUAUCUUUUCUUUUUUCUUAUUUUACUUUGAAUUUUUUUAAAUAUAUACAGUUUCAAAUUUAUAUGCUCAAACAUGAAAUUAGUUAUAUUGUAAUAAUAUUUUAAUUUGUCGUGAUUAUUUUUUUAAUUUAGCUCAAACAAUUUCACUCGAUUUGACUCGACUUAAAUUUCAUUUUACGCGACUCGAUUCAAAAAAAACUCAAAUCAAAUUAAGAUGAUAAAAUAAGACUUAUCAACUUGAUUAACUCGAAAUUUUUUCACUUUAUUCGAUUGAACCUUCCUCCUUAUUUACGUCGCAAUUAGAAAACAUAUAGUAGUAAGGAAGAGUUAAAUUUUUAUACUAAAAAUAAAAAUUCAAAAAGUUACAUGUGCUUUUUUUAUAAAUAUACUCUAAAAUGGGUUAAUCUAAAUUAUAAAAUCUAGGAUCCAAAAAUGAAUAAUUUCUCUACCACCGAAUUGAACAUUGCAUUUCAGUUUUAAAAUCUAUUCUAAUCAAAGAAGCCAAAUUAACUUGACUUUGAAGAAUGGUAAACACCUAGAAAUCAAGUAGGGUCCUAAACCAUAAAUCAAGGCAGUCUGAUAAUUGGGUAUAUAUGCACUAAAGAUAACCAAGAAAAAUGAGACACGUUCCUAUCAUGUCCUUUCAAAAUGUCUUUAAAUUCUACCCAUAUAUUUUUCCACAACUUGGUUGCCAUUUUAUGAGAAAAAUCCAUCAAUUACGGACAAAAACAUAAUGGAACCCAAAGACCAAGUCUUAUAAACUUGUCGUUAUUGGCUGCACCAGAAAAAACAUCAUGCUUUGUAUCCUCAUAUUCUCAUUUCUGUAGAGGAUUUUUUUAUGGCAAAAAGGAAUUUCCUAAGUGAAACGGAAUGUAACAAAAGACGAUGAAAAGGACGAUUAGAAUAGAUAUUUUAUAACAUUAAGUGUAAAGAUAGAUGAUAGUUUAUAAGGUGGAAAUGGAAAAUUACUAAGUGUGGCUGUAGGUACGAGAGCUCAUCAAAUAGGAGUAAUAAGAGGCAUUUUUACUGAUAAAGAAUUCAAGUCUUGUAUAAUAGUCCAUUUAAAAAAACAUGGAAGAUGUAUUUAAUGUUACAAGAAAAGGUUAACAUGUAACAUUUAACUAUCGAUAGAAGUUCUUGUGCUUUUAGUUUCUUUGUUGAAGAUAGAUGGAUUGACUUAUUACACCAAACUAAGCUCUCCAAAAUAUUAAAAGAGUAAAGAUAAUCGAAGAAUCUUAUCAUAUUCUUGUCGAGUAAUAUUUUCUCAUGUCUUAUUGAUAAGAGUGUUCGAGUAUUAUUGACAGGUUGUUCCUAACAAUAGGUGUUUCGAAUAUAAUUAUUCUUAAAUUUCAAUUAUUCUAAAUAAGAUUUGUUUUAAAUAUUAAUUGUUCUUAACAAGAGCUAUUCUCAAACAAUUACUACUAUAGGCAUCAACAGUUGUGAACAUAAUAGCUAUUCUAGAACAAAGGUUGAUUUGAGUAGUGAUUAUUCUAAACAAAAGUUAUUCUUCAGAUAAAAACAUUUAAAAAGAAAACAAUAGAAGUGAUUAGAAUAUGUUUAUCUCGAAGUUGAAUUUAUGUGAAUCAAACCUACUCAAACCUUAAACAACUUAAACUCAAUAUGACUCCAAUGAGUAACUUAAAAAUACUAAAAUCUCAAGGAAUAAACCUAAAAUGAUCCAAACCCAUAUUAAUUAAAUCCAAAAUUAAUCCUAAACAAAUAAUUUAAAAUUUUUAACUGGAAGCAACAGAACCUGACUGAUCUACCUCAAAGUAAAACUCAUUUCAAAGUGAGACAAAUUAGAUUAUUACUUGCAGUCUUGCAUACUACAGUCCUUAUAUAUAUGUCAGAUGUUUUAGGUAAUCUGUGUCAAUGGAGUUCUUUCACUGUCUUGGACGUAGAUGUAGCCAACUGCCACAUUGAAUAGUUUUUCACUUCCAUCCUCAUCUGGACCCAAACUCGUCAUCUUUGUAGACUAAAUCAUAUAUGCAAACAAUCCAAAAAUCUAAUGACCUGACUCGUAUUUUUUUAAAACGGAUCAGAUAAUCUUCCACGAUGGACCAAAAAUUUAGCCCUUACUAAAAGCACCCAUAUCAUAAAUUUCAGAAUAUAGCUGAGCUCUCUCGUCUUAUGAUCCAAACAAGGAGGUAAAGCCAAAAAAAAAAAAAUGCAGAGCUCCACAGUUUUCAUAACCCUGUGGCUGUUAUUAAUAGUCUUUUCCGUGCUUAGCCCUGUAACUGAAGCUCAGCCGCCCACUUAUCGCGUCCACGUUUGUCCUAACACCACCACUUUCCUCAUAAACAGCACUUACCAAGCCAACCGUGAUACCCUCUUAACUUCUCUAUCGUCUAAUGGCAGCCGUGGUAAUGGUUUCUACAACACAACUUCAGGCAGAAACCCCGACACGGUUUACGGUCUUUUCCUCUGCCGUGGGGAUCUUUCUACCAGCGUUUGUCAAGCGUGUGUCACCUUUGCCUCUACUGACAUUUCCCAACGUUGUCCUGUUGAAAGAGCAGCGGUGGUUUGGUACGACGAGUGCCUCCUACGAUACUCGGACGAAAAUAUAUUUUCCGCCGUGGCUGAAGAACCUGCAACUAUCUUGUUCAACACUCAGAACAUCAGUGACCAAGUCCGUUUCGACAGCCAAGUUCAAGAAGUGAUGAGUGAUACAGCAGCCCAAGCCGCAAACGCAGCACCAGGUGCUAAAAAAUUCGCGACUAGAGAGGCAGAUGCCAAUUUUACAUCGAGUUUCCGAACACUAUAUACCCUUGCUCAGUGUACACCGGAUUUGCCAACCUCUGAUUGCGAGAGAUGCCUGCGAUACGUAACUGGAAACCUUCCAAGAGGAAGUCAAGGAGGAAGAGUGUUGAGUCCUAGCUGCAACGUUAGAUAUGAAACUUACCUGUUCUAUAAUCUAAAUCAAACAGCAGUUGCAUCUCCUCCACCUCCUCUAGUUCCAGGUUUAUCCUUACUGUUUCAUUCAUAAUUUUGGGUCCUUGCUCUUUUGUCUUGAUCUUUUUGUUAGAUCAUGAUACUCACUUUGACCUUACCGGUAUAUAAUAUUAUAGUUUCAAGAGGGAAUGGACGAAGAACAUGGCCAAUAAUUGUUGCCAUUGUUGUUCCAAUUGCUGCUUCCAUUUUGGUUUUAUUACUGGCGUGUUGGGUGUCAAAGAGGAGAGCAAAGAAAUACGAUGCUGUCCAGGGGGGAAAUGGUAAAGGGCGUGUGAUUUUAUGAGCCAUAACAAUCUUAUUUUCCUUGUCUUUCACAAAAAAGUUGAGGGUUUUUGCUAUUUGGUUGUGCUGUGCAGCAGGGUAUGACAUAACCACUGUAGAGGCCUUGCAGUAUGAUUUUGCCACAAUUGAAGCUGCAACAAACAAGUUUUCAGAUUCUAACAAGCUAGGCGAAGGAGGUUUUGGUGAGGUUUACAAGGUAUUGUUACUCCCUUUUUAUUCUGACCCCAACCCCAAAAAAAUCUAAUCAAAUCCGACUUAAUCUAAUCUGACUAUAAAACAUGGUUGUUGGUAGUUUAAGUUUUGUUUUCGUCAAAUUUUGGUACGUUUAGCCUGUGGUCUAUACUGGAUUGUAUCUAUCUAUAUUGUUUAAUACCGAUUGGUAAAAAAAAUUAUAUUUAAAAUCAAAUUUUUUUAUCUUUAAACGUUUUAAUCUUUCUAUAAUUACAUUUAAAAUUAGAAGAUAUUUAUUAAUUUAAAUUAUUAAAUUUAAUUAAUAAUUUUAAAAUUUAUAUGGACAUUUGAGAUAUAUUUAUAUAUAUAUAGUAUAUACUUUAGAAAGAAACUAAAAAUUAAGCUACGAAUAUAUAUGAAAAAUAUUUUAAAAAAUAUUAGUAUAUCUAAAAUAGUACAACAAAAUAAAUGGAUACUUGUAUGUAGCAUUAUUGGGACGAAAAAGGAUACAUCGGUCAAUACAUUAUUGGCUACCUUAUUAUAUAAACUUAACAAUCACCUGAACGGAUUUGAACCCUUGAACUAGUCUAAACCCAAAACAAUUCAAACAAAUAAUAAGAAAUUAUUCGAACCCAUAGUGUCCUAACUUAAAAAGCCCUUAGAUCCGAACAACCCAAAAUAACUUAAACCCAAAACUAUCCCAAACUUACACGACCUGAAAAUUUUAAAACCUAAAUUAACUCAAUCUAAAUUUAACUCUUCCGAAAUUAACAUGAUCAAUCUAAUUGGCAUGUCUAUGAGUUAGGGCUGUGAUCAAGUUGAAUCGAGCCUAAAUAGUAGCAAGCUCAAGCUCGAGCUUGACUCGAUAUUUAGGGCUCAAUACUCAGCUUGAGCUUGCUUAACCAUCAAUUUCUAAGCUCGAGACAUACUUGAGCUACUCAUGCUCAAGUUCAAUUAAGCUCAUUUAUCAAUUUUCAUACUCAAGCUCAAUUAAUUCCGUUCGUACUUAAGCUCUUUCUAUAUAAUAAGAGCAAAAUUGUAAUUUCAUAAUAUACAAAAUAAAGUCAAAUGAUCGCGAGCCAUUUGAAUCAAGUAUCACAAUGCUCAAAUUUGGCUCCAUCGAUAGCUCAAGCUACUUGAAUUCAAACUUGACUUGAUAAUUACUGAAUUGAAUUUAAAUUUUUUUUAAUUAAACUCAAAUAGCUUACAAGCACCAAUUUAUACCACUAGUUUGAGUACUUGGUCUUUUUUUCAUGCGGAGUCCAAAGAAUUCAUUUAAUAAUUGGUUAAUGAUUUGUAAAUGCUCAGGGUAUCCUUCCAAACCAACAAGUAAUAGCUGUUAAGAGGUUAUCAAGAGGUUCAGGACAAGGUGAUGAGGAAUUUAAAAACGAGGCUGUAUUGGUAGCUAAGCUUCAACACAGAAAUCUAGUCAGACUAUUGGGUUUUUGCUUGGAAAGAGAAGAAAAGAUACUAGUUUAUGAAUAUGUUCCCAACAAGAGCCUGGACUAUUUUGUUUUCGGUAUUUUUCACUUACUUUUCAAAUACCCUUUUUAGAAUUUGAAUUUAUUUUUGAGGUGGUUUUUACACACAAUUGCUUGUUUGUGUCUAGAUCCUACAAAACAAGGACAAUUGGACUGGUCGAUACGAUACAAGAUUAUUGGAGGGAUUGCUCGUGGAAUUCUUUACUUGCACGAGGAUUCCCGGCUUAGAAUCAUCCACCGCGACCUCAAGGCCAGCAACAUAUUGUUAGACGAAGACAUGAACCCCAAGAUUUCGGAUUUCGGCAUGGCAAGAAUUUUUGGGGUUGAUCAAACUCAAGGAACAACCAGAAGAGUUGUUGGAACCUAGUAAGUUCUUACUUUGUUCAUAAGCAAUUUUACCGGAAUGGCCUAACACCUCCAUUACACUGACAUUGUUACUGGCUCAACAGCGGCUACAUGUCUCCAGAAUAUGCAAUGCAGGGACAAUUUUCGGUUAAAUCCGAUGUAUACAGUUUCGGGGUUUUAGUCCUUGAAAUCAUAAGUGGCCAAAGGAACAGUAAUUUCUACGAAACAGAAGGCGCUCAGGACCUCAUUAGCUAUGUGAGUAAAAUGCUUUUGGCCUAGUUUGUUCAAAUAUCCUUUAUUAAGAACUUAUAGAAACUUUGAUGAACCAAUGCAGGCAUGGAAGCUAUGGAAGGAUGGGAGAUCCCAGGAAUUGUUGAAUCCUGUUUUGAGGGAUAAUUACUCAAGAAACGAAGUCAUUAGGUGCAUCCAGCUGGGAUUAUUAUGUGUUCAAGAAGAUCCAGCUGACCGACCAACGAUGGCCACCAUUGUUCUCUUGCUCAACAGUUACUCUGUCACACUACCGGUGCCUAAACAGCCAGCAUUUGUGCUUCAGAGUAGAACAGAUGGGAGGAUGCCAGACAAGGGGCUUGAAUCUGAUCAAUCUACAAGUCAAUCAAUGCCAUGGUCUAUCAAUGAGGUAUCUAUUACUGAAUUACACCCCCGAUAAUGUAAGUUAAUGGAUGCAACCCCACCACGUGCAUAUGCUAUGUUCAGGCUUUGUUCAGUUAUUUCCAAAUUGUUCCUGUUCUUUCUAGUUCUUCGCCUGUUAUGUUUUGUGAUAGUCUGAUUUUGAACACACAUUUGUACUUUUAUUAUAAUUGUACUAUAUUUGUAAUAAUGCAACUUUAAAAAAAUGGAUGCAUCAUCAUCAACAUCAAGGUGGAUAGCUAUCUGCCAAUCUCGAAUAAGCCUUUUGUUCUACCAAUUCAUGGAUUCUUUGUUAUAUACCAGAAUUUGUGCCCUUGAUCUCCUGGGCGUCCUCGUACUUCUAAAUAUUCUUUUUCAUUCAAGGAAUCAAAGGUUGAGAUGAUUGUAAGGCUUAAUGCUUUUUUAUACAGUGGAGUUUAGCCGGUAAAAAUCAUCUUCUUUUUUUUCCACAAACUUGAUUGGCAAUUUAUGAGAAAUGCAUUAAUUGGUAACAAAUAAGAUGGUAAACUACUCAGUUAGUCACUAAAUUUUUCGAAUGCUUCAUUUUGGCCACUAAUUUUUUUUUUGUAAUUUUGACAUUCAAUAUUUAAAGCACUUUCAUUUUAGUCACCCAACCAUUGAAUCAUUAACAAUGAUUAACUGUACAUGUCAACAUCUUGUUUACAUUUCAUUUUGAGCACCCAACUUUUAAAAAAAUCUCUUUUUUUGAGUAUUUGUCCGGAUAGAAAAAUUAAUAAAUAAACUGAAAAAAGCAUUAGAAACUAAAACAAUGCAUUAAAAAAUAGUCAUAUUAUACGUGUUUAUCUCAGUUUUGAAAAUUCUUAUUGAAUUUUUUUAAAACAUCAAAAUCAAAUAAAAGAAUUGUUAAAAUAAAUUUAUUCAUUGAUAAUGUCAACCUAUUUAUUACUAUAAUAUUGAAACUAAUUAAUUUAAUCUCCUCCUAAAUUUUAAAUUUCCAUUUUAUGUUUUUAACUUAACCUUUAUUAAAUGAACUCAAAUAAGUUAUAUUUAAUAAUUAUUUAUGAAACUUAACUUUCUUCUGACUAUAUAAUCUUGAAUCUUCCGAGAUAAAUUAAAAGCAAAAAAGAAUCCUUAACUCAUAUUUAAUAAACUAAUUAAUUGUAAAGAUUUUUCAUUGCUUUUAGCUUAGCAUGAGAGAUUCAAGAUCAUAUAAUUAAAAGAAAUUUAAGUUUCAUAAACAAUUAUUAAAAAAUAAGUUAUUUGAUUAGAUUUUAGUUUGGAAACAUAAAAUAAAUUUCUAAAUUUUAGAAGGUUUUAAUUAAUUUAACUAAUUUCAUAUUAUAGUGACAAUUAACAAAUUGACUAACACUAUCAAAGGAUAAGAAUUUUCAACAAAUUGAUUUCGUAGUACCAGUGCCAUUAAACCAUUAUUGUGGAACACAUGGGGUGGAUGUCUUCGUUGGGACGAAGAUGCUAUGAUGGGGCAGAUCCUGCCAUUUAUUCUGACUUGAUAAUAUAGAGCAAUUGAACCCACAUGGUAUUUGGUGACCAACAAUAUCACAUUCCCAAUGAAAGCUUGGGGCACGGAUGGUGGAUGACUCAUAUUUGUCCGAAUGGUCAUUCCAAAAUAGAGGGUGUUGUGGGUGACUUCACGAUUUAUUGGUAGCUUAUUGUUUAGGUUUUUCUUUUUGGGUGAGAUAUGACACACCUAAUCAAACUUGAUUAUUAAAAUAAAUAAUUUAAACUUAAAAAAUAUAAAUCUAAUCUAAUUCAACUCAAAACCAUUUAAACCCAAAUUCAUUCCAACAACUAACUUAAAAUUAUUUAAUUUGAAUCUAUAAUUACUUAUCUAGAAAAAUCUAAAUGAUUUUAAUAUUGUAUCAAACAGAUGAUAUUCAAAUUUAUCUAACCAGAUUAGAUUUCAGGUAGUCUUUAUAUACAUUUCAUGUUGUUCGAAUAUCAAAGUCAAAAUGCAAAAUGCAGUGCCUUCACCAUCCCGGAGCAGCCAUGUAGCCAACUGUCACAUUGAAUAUUAUUUUAUCUCACUUUCCAUCCCAUUCAUUCAUUGUGUACCAACUCUUCUUUCUUGUAGACUAAUAUAAAAGAAAUAUUAUAUUUACUAUGAGUCCCUUUGCUUUGCAAAAAUUUUGGAUUUAGUCCCUAUAAUUUGAUCAUUUUAAUAUUUAUACUUUUCAAAUUGGUUAAUUUUAGUCCCUAUACUUUUUGAAUUUUGAAAUUUUAUUCCUAACCCUAAACAAUAAUAGUUAAAUCCGAUUGGUUAAAUUCAAUUAUUAAUUUUGUACUAUGUGUUCAAUUGUAAAUUGAUUCAUAUUCUCCAAUUAGAUCAUUCUAAGUCUUAUAUUUUUUGAAUUUUCAAAGUUCAAUCUUGAACAAAGUAAUAGUCAAUAAUAUAUUAUAAAUGAACUUUUAGUGAGUAAUACAUGGAAAUAAUAAGCUGACGUAAUAUUACAAUAUAAUAAUAUGUUUGACGCAUCAAAUUUUGAAAGUAGCAUAUAACUUAAUUAAUUUAAUGGCUAUCAUUUGAUGAGGAUUAAAAUUUUAAAUUUUAAAAAGUUUAAAGACUAAAAAUGACCAAAUUAAAGUAUAGGAAUUAACUCUAUAACUUUCAAAAAAUACAAAGACUAAUAGCCGAAUUUAACAAAAAAAAUUCAAUACUCUUAGCAAGGAUCAAAGAAGCUUCUGCAAUUGCAAAAAUCAACCAUAUCAUAAUUUCAUAACAAGAACGCAGAUUUAUAUGUCUGAUCGAUCUUUGUCUUUUGAUCCAAGAUAAAGAAAGGACAUAACUUUAAUUAAAACAAAAAUUAUGCAUCUCUCCACGGUUUCCAUUAACCUGUUGCUGUUAGUAAUGGUACUUUCCGUGCUUAGCUCUACCAGCGAAUCUCAGCACCCUACUUUUCUCUAUCACGACUGUCCUAACACCGAGGCUUUUUUAUAAAAUUAACUUAAAAAAUUUAAUUAAUUAUAUAAAUAACCUAUUUUUUUAAUUAAACACGUAAAUGACUUAAAAUCUACAGUAAAAGUUGAUGGAGCCAAAGAGUUUGGUGCUACCAACAUGCCACGUCAGCAACUAGGAUAAAAAAAAUCAAUUUUUUGGUAGAACCAUGUAAAAUAGCGUUAUCUGUAUAAAUAUCAGGAAAAUAAAAUAAUUUCUAAAAAUAUAGGGACUUUAAAAAUUUUCCCUUUCUUAGUGUAGCCAAAUAAAUUCGCGCCACCCAAUUCCUAAGUGUUGCCCUCCCCUUUUUCCUUUUAAAAUUUUAAAUAUAUUAAGAAAUUUUUCUCUUUUUUUUUACCUAUUAAAAAUAUAUUAAAAUUUUCAAAUUGGUUAUACAUAAAAUAUUUUUAAUACGUUUAAAAUAUUAAUAUAUUUUAAUGUAUUAAGUAUAUUAAAAAAUUAAAAUUGGUUAUACUCAACAUUUUCUUUAACAUAUUUAAAAUUUUAAUAUAUUUAAAAAAUUUUAAGUUUUUUGAAAUUUUAAAUAUAUUAAACUAUCUUUUAUUCUUAACCCAAAUAAUAGUAGUUAAAUAUGUUUUGUUAAAUGCAAUUAUUAAUCUUAUCUUAUAUGUACAAUUGUAGAUUUGGUGUAUAUUCUUUAAUUGUAUCAUUCUAAGUUUUAUACUUUUUAAACUUUGAAAUUUCAAUCUUAACUCAAAUAUAACUUUAUUUUUUAGUGAGUAAUAUAUGGAAAUAAUAAAAUGUUAUGGUGUUACACAAUAUGUUUGACUCCUCAAAUUUUGGAAAUAGUUAACAGUUCGAAGACUAAAAAUGAUCAAAUUAAAGUAUAAAAAUUAAAUUCAUAAUUUUCACAAAGUACAAGGACUAAUAGCAGAAUUUACCAAAAAAAUUAAUGAACUUGACUCAAAAUUUUCAUAGUAAGGAUCAAAGAAGCUUCUGCAAUGGAAGAAAAAUCACCCAUAUCAUAAUUUCAAGACAAGAACCCAGAUUUAUAUGCUUGAUCUCUCUUGUCUUAUGAUCCAAGAUAAAGAAAGCAGAUUACUUUAAUUAGAAUAAAAAUUAUGCAAAUCUCCACAGUUUCCACAAACCUGUUGCUGUUAGUAAUAGUACUUUCCUUGCUUAGCCCUGCAAUUGAAGCUCAGCAGCCUACUUAUCUGUACCACGAUUGUCCAAACACCACCACUUUCACCGUAAACAGCACUUACCAAGCCAACCGCAAUACCGUCUUAUCAUCGCUGUCGUCUAAUAGCACCCGUGGUGAUGGUUUCUACAACACAACCGCAGGUAGGAGCCCUGACAUGGUAUACGGUCUUUUCCUUUGCCGUGGGGAUCUUUCUACCAGCGUCUGCCAAGCGUGUGUCACCUUUGCCACCACCGAUAUUUCCCAACAUUGUCCCAACCAAACAACGGCGGUGGUUUGGUACGACGAGUGCCUCCUACGGUACUCGAAUGGAAAUAUCUUUUCCGUUGUGGCAGGAGGACCUACAUUUAUAUUGCGUAGCAGUCAGAAUGUGACCGAUAACCAAGACCUUUUCAACCAGCAAGUCUUAGCUAUGAUGAACGAUACAGCAAACCAAGCAGCAAACACACCAGAAGGUGCUAAAAAAUUUGCGACUAGAGAGGAAGAUGUUAAUUUUUCAUCAACUUUUGAAGCACUGUAUACCCUUGGUCAGUGUACUCCGGACUUGAUAAGCAUGGAUUGCAAUAGAUGUCUGCGAAUGGUAAUAUCAAGUCUUCCAACUGAAUGGCGAGGCGCAAGAGUGUUGAAUCCUAGCUGUAACGUUAGAUAUGAAACUUACCUGUUCUAUAAUC